rnacentral:lncRNA from 1 species
GAGAGAGAGAGAGAGAGAGAGAGAGAGAGAGAGAGAGAGAGAGAGAGGGGUUUUGGGAAGUGGAGAAAACCAACUCUAUCUGCUGAUGACACAGAGAGAUAGUAACGCUUCAUCUACCUUAUAUGGUACCUCAAAGAGAUCUACCUUAGAUGAUAACAAGCAAAUGAGAGUAACCGACCGUCUCUAGAAUAAGGGGUAAAGAACUUGAUGAUUAAUAUUCGAGGUCUCAAGUUUGAAUCCUAGUUGAUUCAAAUUUUCAGUUAAAUUUAUUUUUAAAUGAAAUAAAUAAAACAGAUAACAUGCUACCUAUCUCUCCAAAUAUAUCAUUAAAAAUAAUUCCUUUAAACUCUACUGUUUUAAAUUAUUAAUUAGUAUGGAACAUGCAACAAAUUUAGAUAUAGUAGUAAGUUGUUUAACUUUCAAAUUUAUAAAUGGAAUAUAAAUCAAAUACGUAAAUAAUUUACAAAACCAAACUGUUGUGUUUAAUGCCCAACAUUUCAGCUAUAUUUACGACCGUUUCUAGCGUAAGUGGCAAAAGGACUUGGUGGUUGAUAUCCGAGACCCAAGUUCGAAUCCUAGUUGAUUCACAUUUCCAGCUAAGAUUAUUUCUAAAUAAAAUAAACGAAACGAGUAGCAUACUACCUUUCUCUCUCUCUCAAAAAAAAAAAAAAAAAAAACAAUUCAGCUAUAAAUAGCUGUAGCAUUUACUCGUUUUAUAUUUAGCCCGUUUGUUGUAACUAUACCCACUGACACACCCAGUUUGCACUUUGCACCACUUAAAAAAAGGUGGGGGAAAGAGAAGACACCUGUUUGAUCAGUCCUAGUUCAGAUCAAAGGGACAAAAUUGACUAAAGAGGCCCCUGGAUUUGGUAAGAUAUUUCACUGUCUCACCGGAUUCAAUCAGUGAACCAUCCCCUGUAUUUAUUGUUCUCCUUUUCCAUGGUAAAUGCUUUGGAUCUCCCCACAAAAAAACCUCCUUGUACAGUAUUAAAUGUGCUGAUAAAUCUCACUAGUGUUUUGAAGUAGAUACAUAGAUAAACCAAAAUACUUAUGACACCCUAGGCAUUCAAUAGAUAGCUGCUCAACAUUUCAGAAUAAAUGAUCUAAUUCAACUGUCACAUAAAACACAUAAGAUACUUAGUUUGAAAAGGUGAGUACUUUCGAUUGUUUGGUUGGAUGAUUGAUUUUUUCAAAGUUGUCUAUUUCUACGAGGAACUCGACAUUGCACUUCUCCGGAGUGAUGUCGAGUUUCACUCACAAACUCAAAAAAUUGCUGGACCUGAAAUCAGAUUUACCAAACAAGCCCUAACUCAAUGCAUUACUCUCACUAGAGGAUCCAUCGAAAAUGAAACCAAACUGAGAGCGACAUAAUUGGUAGUUGGAAACCUUUCACAUCAAUAAAGGCUCAUUUCAAAAACGUGCAUAAAGAAAUAUAAAAAAAGGGCUCAGUAAAAAUGCUGAUGUUAGUAGUAAUCGACACCUCUCUAACUAAAAGCUGAUGUUUCCUCUAUAUAUAUAUAAAAAAAAAAAACACUAAAAGCUGAUGUAAGUAAGUGACAGCUUUCCCUCGUAUAUUAUUCUAGCUAGCCUUUCUUUUCAUUUCCAUAUUUUAAUAUUAAUCUUCUAUGAUACAUCCAAUCAAGUGAAUGGACUAUGACAACACAAGACAUCAAGGUUGUAUUCAAAAGAUGUGCAUCACAAGGAAAGGGCUGGGGAUCUCUAUUUCUCUACUUUUUAUUAUAGUACAACUAAGAGGAUAAAGAAACAAAAAAAAGUUGUUCUUAGUGGCUGCAGCCACUUUGUAGAAAGUUUCAGAUGUUUGAUGAAGCUACAGAAGGGACACAACAUACAUUAGAAAAAUUAUUGGGUGAUGCGGUGUAUUAGUACAUUUCAUACUUCAUAUAAAUGUGCAUAAGUAUGUAAAACCAUGGCAUAUGACAUCUUAAAUUUAAAUUUAAAUAUGUAAAAACUCUAAUUCAGAUAACACUCACAAUUAUUGUAUCAGCAUGAAACAACUCUCAUUAAAACAUGAUGUUUAGAAAAUUAGAAUCACAAACUAGCCAAAUGCCAAAGCCAUAAGUACUUGGGCACGAAAUUAAAUUUUGUUACUCUGGAAAGAAAUUAUUCCCCCGCAUCUAAGUCGUGAAAAUUAUUUUCAUCAUUAUUUGGUAUUCAUAUAACAACCGUAGUAAACAAUAGAAGGACAAUUACCUGGAGAUAAAAGUUGCUCGCUGCUGCAGACGCUCCACCUAACACAUGAGGCCUUAAAUUGGUUCAGCUAAGCAUGUCCUAAAAAUUAAACCUACACUGAGAAAAGACUAUUACUCAUAAAAAAUAAAAAAUUAAAAGAAACAAGAAAUAUGUAUAAUCUAUGACAUAAGUAUCAACAAAAACGAUCUAAAUAGUAAAAUGGUUCACAACAAUUUAUUAUAUCGUAUAAAUAAGUGUCGCAUCAGCAUCAUUAUGAAUUUAUGUAGUCGAAAUUAAGACUUGUAAGGAUGAAAAUGAAACAAAAAUCGAACUCUCUGAAUGAAAUUGACAGCAUAAAAUUCAUUUUCAAAUGACUAGUACUGAGCAUGAUCUAUAGAAAUUUUCUCCUUACGCCACAUUUGAAAGAAAUAUUGAAAACCAAGAGUCCUCACAGCAGGUCGUAGAACAUCAAAUGUCAAUAGCCCCAUACACAAUAGAUUGCAAGAUUACUAGUUUCCAAGUACCAUUUACAACACGAAAAAUUAAGUACAAAAAUAAAACCGACAUAACAAUUGGAUGUAACUUAUAAUCGAAUCUUAUAAAUUAUUAGUAAGUUGCAAAAUUUACAUUUAUAGGAAUGUCCCAUAUUUUAUCCAUAUAUAUCGCACUAGACUUGUGAGUUGUGAAUGAGAAGGACUAAGAACCAGGGCCAGGCUUCAUGUGUAAUCACAAAAGCCAUGGCCAAUCUCUAGGGUAGUAAUCAGCUAGCAAGGCCAGAUUCAGCAAGCGAUUCAAUCUCUCGGGUAACAAUCAGCUUGCAAGACCAGAUUCAGCACACCCAAGGGGUGUGCCAUUUUGCACAGGAGCGGAAAACUCUUCUCAGUCACCUGCGAACAACUUCUCAGCGUAAGGACUUUUAGGUGGAGGUGCCUGGCAGAUGCCAGAACCGCAAUGCCAAUAUCGCUGAUCUGGCACCUUGACAUAUCAAGCUCUUUGAGACGAGAGCAACUCACUGAGAUCGCCACGAGGCUCUUGUCGGUAAGCUUCUUACAGCCAUCAAGAUUUAGUAGUUUGAGAGUUCUUCCAUGCGCCUUGACCAGGGCCUCAAUGGCUGCAUCGGUCAGGUCAACACAAUAAGAAAGAUUGACCUUCACCAACCGGUCUCCGGAACCUUCGAUGAAAGGAAGAAGCCCAUUGUCAGUCAAACCAACAAGCCCACUCAGGUCGAUAUGCUCCAACUUUGGGCAGAUGUUUGCCACAAGAGCUAAGCUAUCACUAGUGAGAUCAGGACAUGCGUGAAUAGUCAAGGAUGUAAGAUGGGUGCAGGAGGGGUGUAGCGAAGGAUCAAAGUCCUUAAUCUCCGAACAUUUAGCCGAGGCUAGUGAUUGGUAGUUUGUAUUGGUAUCAAGAGAAGAAAGAGAAACACUGUUGAGAGUGAUCCUGCUGCACCCUUCUAGUUGCAGGCUUUCAAGUGUUCUAGAAGUUUCAGUUACAGCUCUCAGUCCAGAAUCUGACAGGUGGAAAGAUCUGUGGAAGGGCAAAUGUUUCAAACUUGGACAACACUUUCCGAUGGAUUCAAGGGCCAGAUCAGUGACGCCGGAGCAUGAGGUGACUGUUAUGCUAUUGAGAUUUUGCAGGCUUAGAGACUUAGCUGUGAUGCGGAUUUCGCUCUUGCUCACAUUCUGGAGACCACUUAGGGUAAGGUCACUAACACCCUUCCCAUGCCGCCCAACAAAAGCACAAGAAAUGUCACUGAUGUUUAAACCCUCAAGCUUGACCUUCUGGAGGGAAGAAGAGGCAGAAGCCAUGAGGCUCGAGACUCCUAGAUCACCAACUCGUGGGCAGUCCUUGAUAAUAAGGCAGUUCAACUUUUGACAGCAAAGGCCAAUAGCAUGCAGGCCUUCAUUGUGGAUAUUUGCACAUGACUGUACUUUUAGAGAAGUCAAGUUCCGACACUUCCUCGCAACGGCAAUCAAACCCUUCUCUGAGAUUAGCGGGCACUGUGUGAGGUCAAGCUUUUCCAGGAUGGGACAUCCACCAGCAAUUUCAGAUAGGCUAAUGUCAGUGACUAAAGGAACAUUCCACAUUGACAGAAUGCGAAGGGAAGGGCAAGCAUGAGCUACGGCAGAAAGCCCACGGUCAGUGAUACCACAAGUUGGAUUGCCAUAGCUAUUGCUCCCUCGGAUCAAAAGGUCACCAAGCCCUCCACGACUACUAUUACCUGUUUGAUAUAAAAUAUUAACAACAUAUAAUACGAGAGCAAGAGAAUUGAGUUCAAAUCCCACUAGGUCCAUCCACUGUUUAAUUAAAAGAACCGCCUUCCAUGAUGUAGUUGAAAAAUAGGGACCAAAAAAGAAAAAAUAGAGCCGAGACAGAGAGGGAAACUGCUUAAUAAAAAAUUAAAACAGCGUUCUCUAGCAGCCCAAGUUUUUUGAGGGGAAAAUAACAGUCUUCCACAUUACCUACAGCUAUAGCGGCAAGUUGAAUAUCGGUAGCCUGCUUGCCUUCCAAGAUCCUACUAUGAGACUGGUCUACCUCUCCCUCAUCAUCCUCUUCCUCAUCACCGACCCCAUCAGCGUUAAGAUUUGGUAAAAUCUUCCGCUGAACAGCAUCGGACGGGCGGAUGCCGCUCAGAAGGAAAAGCCAUUUUUUGCAAACACAAGCAGAUUUGGUCCUCUCCUUACUCCCUGGAAGUCGCCGGAAGAUCUCAAAGAGGCACUCGUCGGGAAGAUAGUUGACAGUGUCGGACUGAUGCUCUUCUUCAUUAGCCUUUCUUUCUCUCCUUUCCGAGAUUACUGGGGAGGAGGAAAUCCUGGGCAUCUUGCGAGGUCGGCUGUGGGCAUCAAGAUCGGAAGGCAUAGAAGAGACAAAGUGGAAUCCAAAGCAGGGUUUCUCGAGGUUGAUAUCAUCGUCUCCUGAGAAAAUUGCAGGGGAACUAAUUGAUAAAACCGAGUUUGGUAUUGUUGUCAUUUUUUUGUUUCUCGAAAAACACAAAUUCCACCCAACAGAGCCUGCGGGCAGAUGUCUACUGGUUUUACUUGGCAACAAAAAUUUUGAACUUGGUAGUAACUUUUUUUUUUCGCAUUUUUAUUAUUACAAAGAAGAUGCUGUUCAGCAUCAAGCUGGGUGCAUUGGCAAGCUACUCAGUAAUAACACGAACAAAGAAGUCCAUUUGCCGGUGCAUCUAAUCAUUUAAAAUUUGCAUUUAAAACAUUAUAAAAAGAGCAAACAAGGCAGGAAAUUCUAGAUGGUUGAUUCAAAAAUGCAAAAUUGAAACACGGAACCGUGUAAUCUACGCCAAUAUGAUAUGAUCUCCUAAAAGCUUAAUACGUACAUGUAUAUAGCCUAGAAAACCUAAUAUAUGUCACUGAAUAUCUACAAAAGAGGGGAAAAAACGAAAUUUUCCAAAUUUGAAACCCUAAGACUCCCAAUUAAGCCAAAAACAGAGAGGAAUAACAGCAAUUAGGACAUCGCUCGAUCAAUAAAUUCCGAAGAGACAUGAAAUUGAAGCGACUACCUUCGUAGUUGGCGAUGGCCAUCAGUGGUGACGAAGGAGACGAUUCCGAUCGCGAUUACUGAAUAACAGGAAAUCGAAGACGAAGAAGACGAAUUCGAGUUCAUCUACGGGGGAAUCGGGUUUCGCACGGGUAGGAGAGCGCCCCCGAUCAGGGGAUCGUUCUCAAAACCCUAAUCGCGUUUAGGGCUUAAAACGAGCGAGAGAAAGAAAGAGAGAGGGGAGAGAGAGAGAGAGAGAGAGAGAGACUCGACGUUGAGUCUUUGAGCGAGAGACAGGCCGAAGCAACUUAACACGCGUCACGUGAUUGGCACGUGCACUUUGUCCACCUGUCCAUAAACUUAGCGGGUUUCGGGUUUCGGAUUGAAUGUUCGAAGCCUCUCCUGAAAAGAAAUUAUUACGUGGACCAGGUGCACCGUAGACCGCCAGAAUUAUUUAAUGUUUAAUGUGUUCAAAUUAACAUUUUAUUUGCAUAGCUAUGAUCUAAGAAAAAAAAAACUCUAUGCAUAAAAAAUUAUACUAUAGUUUUGAGAACUUAUUAACUAUGUAUUGAACGGUCUAAAUUUUUUUUUUUAAGAGAUAGAUAGCACGCUACCUACUUCGUUUAUUUCAUUUAGAAAUAAACUUAGCUAGAAAUGUGAAUCAACUAGGAUUCGAACUUGGGUCUCGGGUACCAACCACCAAGCCCUUUGCCACUUACUCUAGGGAUGGUCGGUACGGUCUAAAAAAUUAAUAGUAUAGAACGAGAGACUAUUUGAUCCUAUGAUAUAAAGAUGUAUUGGUAAAAUACCUCGCUACACUACAGAGCACAUGUAAGUCGUGAUCGUGAAUGUUUGGGAUACACAUUGAAACUGGUGAGCUCACCACAGAUUGUAUAGGACCAAAGUAUGUGCUCUCUCACGAGACAGCAAGUUUUCAUUGUGAUUUUUAGUUCAAAAAAUAUCGUAGGUUCACGAGCUAAUUAUUUUUAUUGUAACAAACACAGCUUAGAUGUUCAUAAUUUGUGACUUCGUAUGUAAAUCUUCCGAAUAUUAUAAAAUAUAAGUAACUAAUUAAAUUUUAAUUUUAAAAUUUUUAUGAUAGCUAGAGUUUUAGGUUAUGGUGCACCGGGUGCAUGAAAAGAGGAAAACAAAAAUAUGAAAGGGAAAAAGCAGUAGUUGGCACUUAGCGGUAGUGAUGAGCAUCUUCCAAAUGCAGUCAAAAUUUUUAAUUUUUUAAUUUUUUAAUUUUUUUUUUUUUUAUGUGGGGUUACUGGUUAGGAAUUAUUGCAAGUGCGCCCUUUAUAAAGGUUUUUUUUUUUUUAAAAAAAAAUGGCCCUUAAAACAAAAUUUAAUUUUGUGACGUGAUCGAGUUACAAAUUCUUAGUACACAUUUUGCUUAAUGCAAUUAAAAUUAAAUUUAAAUUCUAACUAACCUUGUUCUCAUCAAGGAACAAAUUUAUUCCAGAAAAAAUGUGGAAUAGCAGUUUCAGUCUUAUACCAGCUUAUUCUUUAAACUCUGAAACUACUAUUCUCAGGUACCAAACAUCACGUUUAGAAACGAAGGGGGAAAACAAGGGCUUAUUUUCUCCUUGUUUCCGAACCAAAUGCUAUCUAAAAGUUAUAAUUUCGAUUGAGAAUUUAGUACAUGUUACCUUGAAAAACUAAUUUUUCAUCUUUUUCACAAAAAUAAAAACUUUAGUUUUCUGUCAAAUUUGAAAUUUAGUUCUUCAGUAAAACUAUUUUUGCUCGAAGACAAACAGACUAUUUGUGAAAUUAACCAAGAUCACGAACUGUUAAUCAAGUCAAACCAUUUGUUUGGUUCACCAAAGGGGGAAUCGAAAUAGACAAGAAUAAGAAAAAGAAAAUCAUAAAAUUGCCUCCAUCACCGACCGUUCCUAACGCAAGUGGCAAAAAGGUUGGUGGUUGGUGGUUGGUAUCCGAGAUCUCGAGUUCGAGUCCUAGUUGAUUCAUAUUUUUAGCUAAAUUUAUUUCUAAAUAAAAUAAACGAAGCAGGUAGCAUGCUACCUAUCUCUCAAAAAAAAAAAAAAUUGCCUCCAUCCAAAACUAAGAAAAAAAUUACUAAACUUAUUAGAAAAAUAAAUUAUUUAACAAAAGAAUAUUUUAUCAUGAUUUGAUCAAUUCUCUCCCAUAUUUUGGUUGUAAUAUUUUACCUGUUGACCUCGCUCUUUUCAUGAUAUAUAUAUUUGGUGUAUUUCAUGCACUCAUAAGUUGGACCUUUAAUUGGUCGAUUUCAAAGAAACCGUAAUAUUUUUCAGAUAAAAUAUUUUGGUCUGACCUCUAUGAGAAGUCUCAGUUGUACUCAGUCUUUGCUCAUGAUUUGAUCAAUUAGUGCAAUUAUUUGAAUCUUUCUCACAAAUCUGCUCUGUAAUUCUAAAAUUGGUCCAGCUCUUAAGGAUAGGAUUUCCAAUGCCAAAUUAGUCGGGGACAGAACAGUGUACAUUGGCGUUGGAGCACCGAUGAAUGAUUUACUGUGAAGUCAACUUAUUCAAUUCUAAAGGAUGUAGGCACGUGGGACGCCCAUACGUGCAGAAUCUGGUCUUUACGUCUACCUCUUAAAGUGAAAGUGUUCAGUUGGUUUGUACUAAAGAAGAGACCACUGACAGUUGACAAUUUUGUAAAGAGGGGAUGGACUGGUAACACAAAAUGCAUGUUGUGUGAACUGGAAGAGAAAAUAGUGGACCACCUAUUCACUUAGUGUGUGGUCACUAGAUUUCUUAUGGUGUCGACCCAGGAGAUUAUCCAUAUGGGAGAUUUGGGAUAUGAAGUGCAUAUGAUCUGGAAUAGAUGGACUGGAAGAAAGAGAACCCAACCGACCUCAACUGGGCUUUUAGGACUUAUAGCCUGCUGGUGGGUCAUUUGGGAUUUAAGGAAUAAAGCGAUUUUCAGGAUGAUCCAGACUGAUCCAAUAGUCGGUAUACACAAAAUUAAGCAGUUGACUGACCUGUGGAAGAAAAUUAGGCCGGAAAAGUGACCCAACUGUUAAUGUUAGAAGGUGACCCAACUGUAAACGUUGUUUUUUUUUUUUUUUUUCCGCCAUCCUUUGAGGCUUAUGCUGCCUCACCCAUGUAGCUUAAUUCACUUUCUAACUGAAUAAAGUGGGUAGCAUGCUACCUUUCUCUUAAAAAAAAAAAAUCUAAAAUUGGUCAUGUAUCAUACAUUAACAUUAUUUGUUCACCGUUGCUUUGGCAAGUUAGAUAAUAGUAAUCUAUCACUUAGUUCUAGCACCUCGUUUUCUUCCGUAACUUUCUGCUUAUCUGAAACGACAUGCAUUCUUUUUUCCUCCUGCUACUAAAUUGAUCUCCUUAGUUGUGAAAUCAAUUUUCAAUUACUGAAAUAAUGCUUGAUUUUUCUCCAAUUCUGGAAUUUAAAAUACCUCAUUUCUUCAAGUUUUUGAUAUCUCAAGGUUUUACUUCUUCAGAGUCAUCACCAGUUACCAUCCACUCCAAUUUUGGUCACUUGACUUGGACAUCUUCAACUCCUUAUGCUCCGCUACGCACAAUCCAUUCAUGAUUCAUGUAAUUUGACAUGACCUGACAUAAAGUUAGCAAGUUUACCAAAAAUUGAAUUCUAAUAAUUAACCUGCACAAAGUUUUAUGUAGACACGCACAUCUUAGUCACAUCUUAAGACUUUUUUUUUUUUUUUUUUUUUUUUUUGCCCAUCCGAGGAAGAUAGGUUUGCCUAUUUACUUCAUUUAUUUAUAACGAAAUAUAAACUGAGUUAUUAGAAGUGGGACAAUUGGCUUCAAGAAUCAUAAACAUCCUAAGCAAGAGCAGACUGAAAAAAAAAAAAAAAACCUAGAAUGAUAUAAUUACAAGCUAAGAUAAUUUAUGAUGUCCAUUAUUAAAAUUCUUUCCAUUGCUUAGCUAACACUUUGGCCCUACGAAAACCUGACUGCAUUGAUCAGAUUGACCAGUAUAUUUCUAAUGGGUAUCCAUUUAUGACUCGUCAAUUGCAACAAUAGAUUCAUUUGAGACUACUAUAUAUAUAUAAUAAUACUAUAUAUAUAUAGUAUAUAUAUAUAUAUAUAUUAACUAUUGGGGCUGCUACAUUAAUGUUAAUCAAACCAUAUUUUCUUGCUUAUUGGUAACAAUCUCUUGUGCGUUGACUCAAUAAAUCUUUUUGGCUCGUACCUGCCACCAACUAACCGUUCACAAAAUAAAAUUGAUGUCCCACUUAGUCGACCCCAUGUGGCUAUUGUUGACUUUUAAUUUAGGCAACCAAUCCUCUUAGAUUGUCUAAACUUUGUUUGUCUCAGCAAAAGGGACACAUAUUGUAAACAAAACAAUGCAAUUAAUUAUUCGUUUAUUCUAUUUUUUUGGUGUGUUAAGGUGAAAAAUAUUGUAUGGAGUUCGCGCCCCUCAACUCUAUAGGUUAUUUUGAAAUGGCCCCCUCAAUUAUACUUUUACUGAACGAUUCGACCGUCUUAACUUCUAUUUAUUUUUUAUUUAAGUUGUUCCCGUUAGUUAAGUUAAAAUUUUUACCAAAUAUAAUGGCUAUGUUAAUUAUUCGGUAGUCAUUAAUUAACCGUUCCAAUCUCAUUCGCUAAAAAAGGACUAAAGCUAAUAAAUUUGAGAGAAAUUAUAGAUGAAUUUAGUAUAAUGUCUAAUUUAUUUGACUGAAAUUACUAAAUGUUAAAAAAAAAUAAUAAUGAUUUUAUAUUAUAUAAUGAGUUCAACCAUUUCUUUUGCAAAUAAAAGUAAAAUAAUUGACAUAUAGUAAAUAACAAAUUUUUAUCACUAGAAUAAGUUAAUUUUUUUUUUUUAAAGGGACUCCUUUCAAGACGUCCGAUAAUUGAGGGGGUGUUCAUAAAUUUUGACCUAUAUUUUUAUUUAUUAAAGUCCCUCCAACUUUUUGUGUAAAGCCGGCCCCCUACCCCCAUCCCCCCUCCCCUCCCUCCCCCCCCCCCUCAUCUGACGUGGCAUGUGGACCCCCAACAAAGUAAACGGCGGGCGCGUAGUCUUCUCCAAUGAAAACCCAUGCCUCACUGGUGUUUACACCGGAGUUGACUUUUCCUCCUACAAUAAUAAACAUUGAUCAAUUUGGUCGCAUUAUCUACUCUAAUUAUAUAAUUUUAAUUGCAUAUAUAUAACUUGUUGUUGCUGUUGUUGGUUUACAUUGCAACACUUUGUUCCAUGGCUUCCUCAAGGUUUGAUGCCGUCGAGACCCCGAUCUCGAUCUCGAUCUCGAACUCGAACUCGAACUCGAACUCUCGUCCUCGUCGAAUUGAGCUACAAGCCCCGCGGCCUGCGUCGCUGAUGCUCCGCGAGGGGUCGCGCACGAUCGACAAGCGGAGGAAGCCGGUGAUCAUAUACAUGGUCUCGCCGAAGGUGAUCCACGCGGAGGCGAGCGAGUUCAUGUCGUUGGUUCAGCGCCUGACCGGACCCGACUCCCCCACCUGCAACAACAACAGCAGCUCAGAAACUCCUAAAUCCUUCACCGCGCACCGCCACAGCCGCCACCGGAGUACUCAGGGCCGACAGUUUCCGGUCCGCGUCAAGGCGCGAACACUGAACCCUUCUAGAAGUAUUGAAGCCUUGGCUCAUGAUCAUCAUCAAAGUCGAGUACCGGUUCAACCGAUAUCUCCGACUCUAUUUUUACGUGAUUUGUGCUCGCCUUCGAUCAGCGGCGGUAGCUCUCUGAACUGGUUGCUGCAAGGGGAUGAUCUCUUGACUCCGCCUUCGAGUUUGCGCGGUUCGCAAAACUACCUUGAUAUAUUCAGCCAAGAAUAGAAUUCGAUCUCUCGACGCGUGUAGUCGGUGACGAAAACGGUGAUUUGCAAGUACUACAUGCAUGGUUUAUCUCAAAAUCAAAUCCUAUGCUCAAUAUUGAACCUUGUUUUGGUUUUUUUUUUUUUUGUGAUUUUUGUAAAUAAUGAGGAGUUUGUUAUUAAUUAGGUUCUCAUUGGUAAUGGUGUGAGGGUUUGUUUGUUUGUAUUAUAUUCAAAUAUGUAUGUGCUGUUGAAAAUGACAAUGUUUUCAUACUUGUUUCUGCAUGAGAAUGACAUCGAUGAAUUAAGGGAUAUGGUGCAUCUCAGAUGAGCCUAAACCAUUCGCAAAUUUAAUUUGUGAAGCACUCUAAUUAAUAUCUUUUUAUGAAGAUUAUCAACCAUAUUUAGUUAAUCCAUAUGAGUAAAACAUAUAUUAUUAGGCACAUAUAUGCAUUAGAAAUGGAGUUAAAGCGACAAAGAAGUGAUAGACCGAGGAAAGGAACUGCGCGUGUUAUGUCACUUUUUAGUAUAAAUAGAUAAAUUCAAUGUUAAAUCUAAUUAAUAACUAUUCACUGGUGGAAUUUGACUAGAUUCAUGUAGAAAAUUCACUUGUAAGUGCUUAUCUCUAUACUUAUUGUACUACACUGGAAGAAGCAAUUGCCUAAAAAAUGAUCUCCAUACAUUAGUUGUAAUGAAUUAUACUCGAUCCCCACAAAAAAAAAGGGAAUGGAGCCAUUGAUCAUCUUUCUUUUUUUUUUUUUUUUUUAAAAAGAAUUAAUAGUGCCUAUUUGAUUUAAUUUUGGCUUAGGUUGGAUUAUUACAUAUUUGUGACUAAUCAUCUCUCUUUUUUGGUAAAAUAUUAUGCCUACAUACUUGCGGCUUAGCCCACGGUACUUUCACUUUUAUAAAGGUGGGACAUUUGAAUUAACGAUCGAUACUAUCAGAAGUGACACUGUUAGGAGUAUCAAGGAAUCAAAUUUCGUACUUGUGGACAUACUUCGACACAGCUUUUUUUUUUUAUGCGCAUUCAUUGCAUAUCAUUUUAUUGAGGAUAUAUGCACACUCUUUUUAGAACAGAUUUAAAUCGAGGACUCAUAGGCUUAAAUGCAUUAUUAUCAAAUGAGCAAUAAUUAAUUAAUUAUCAACAAUUACAGUUGGAACAAGCCACAAAAAGGAAAGCAUUGUUAGACUAUUGGUAAUGAAAUAUGGCAUGGGAGGAACUACUAAUUAAAUAGAACCUUCUAUAAGAAAUAUUUUAUCCUAAUUUAGUUUGUGACAAUAAAUAUGUUAUAAAUCUAUUUAAUUCCCUAGCUUAGGCACAAAAUAAUCUGCUUCUUUUGGCCCCCCCAAAACAGUUAAAAUUUGAUAGUUGAGCCUUGAGUGCUUUCUUAUAGAGGUGCAAAAAAAUAUGUUAAGGAGUUAUUGAGAGAGCAUAUAUUGUAGAAUCUUUUCGCCAUAUGUGCAUGAAUUGUUUCUAAGCAUUAAUUUGAAGACACCUUUAGAAAUGUUCCCUAAGGAGAUGGAUGAUACCUUUGUUCUAUAAAUUUGAAGACACCUUUAGAAAUGUUCUCUAAGGUGAGACCCCAUCACCAUAAAUAAAAUCAAAAGUACUCAGGCUCCUCCCAUUUAUUUUUAUAUCAAGGCAAAGCAUGGUAUAGCUCUUUUUUUAAAAUAAAAAAUUUGGGGGUUUGUUCACUAAUAGCUUGAUUGUAGGAUAUGGUGCCCUUUUUUUCUUUUCUUUUUUUUUUGGUUCUAACCUAUAAUUCACUGUGUUUUUUUCCUUUCUUAUUUUAUUAUGGUAUUUAUAUGUAUUUAGGCAAUCACAACAGUUAUUGGGUUGGUGUUUCUAUUUGGUGUUCAAUUAACAUUUGGGGAGCCUAUUUACAAUGUGAUUGACUAUGCUGCUAAAGGAGAUGGCAAAACUAAUGAUACAGAUGUAACAAAACUCUCUCUCUCUCUCUCUCUCUCUCUCUCUCUCUCUCUCUCUCUCUCUCUCUCUCUCUCCAUAUUUUUUAAUUACAUAGAUAUAUUAUUAAAUAUGUUAAAAAUAUCUAUAGCUAUAUUUAUUUAUACGACCUUAUUUAAUCACUUAAAUGGUCGUGCUUUUGUUUCUGUUUGUUUCAAAUGGUUAUGUUUGGAGCAAAAUGGAUCUUUACGCAUUAUUUAUUUUUCUUACUCUUCAUGGUUUAAUACAACCUUACAAAAAGCAAAAAAUAUAGCUCUCAUAUGAAUAAACAUACUAUUCAGUGUGAGGCUACUAUACUUUUAGAAGCACGAAGCCUUCCGUACUUUCACAUCGUUUUCGAUGUUGCGACUUUCGAAUCGUCGAUCGGCUCAGUUAAACUUGAUCUAGAGUAUUUGAAGUAUCUAGAAAAUAAAUUUUAUGAUUUUUCGAUAUUAUUUGCCUAGUGAUCGAAGGGGCUCAAAAUCAAUAAUUUUAAAGGCCGAAGUGAGUCGCUUGCAAGUUUAACGGUGUAGAAAUAUCCAAAUCACGUGAAAUUUUGAUAGAAAAUUUUUUAUACUAUAUAAAACAAAAUUAAUAUCUUUCAUUUAAAAUUUUAAUGUCAUAUUAUCACGUUUUGUAAAAUUUUUAUUUUCAGCCGUUGAUUUUGAGCCCCUUCGUUCACUAGGCAAAUAAUAUCGAAAAAUCGCAUAAUUUAUUUUCUAGGUACUUCAAAUACUUUAGGUCAAGUUUAACAGAGCCUUCCGUGGUUCCAGAAGUAUAGUAGCCUCACUCUUCUAUUCAAGAAAUCUAAGUUAGUAAUAAUAAUAAUAAAAAUCUAGCAUUUCAAAUCCGAACUAUAAAUCUAUGCUAUUGAAUCAAAUCCCCCCAGAAUUGCUAAAGUAGCUAAUAUAAUUAAUUUGCUUCUAGAUAUGCAAAUACUAUUAACUUAAUUUCUCUAUCAUUUGGUUUUCUCUUUUUUGGGUUCCAACUCAAAAUUAUGUUAAUUUAUGCUAAAAUCAUAUAGUGCUUCGAAAUUAGCAUGAACUACUCCACUCCAAUUAAAGUUUAUUUAAAAUUUACGCAUGUUUUUUUAUUUUUUAUUUCUUUUUUAUAAUGAAGGCAUUUUUAAAAACAUGGGAAGCAGCAUGUGGAGAUUGGAGCUACUCAACUCUCCUCAUCCCCUCAGGAAAAACUUUUCUCUUGAGUGGAAUCACUUUUUCUGGUCCAUGCAAAAAUAACAUUCACGUUCAGGUACAUAUAUACAUUAUCCAUGCACUUUUAAUUACAAUAUUCAAAUUUAUAAUUAAAUAAUAGGUACAUGCAAAAUAUAUAAGCUAUAGACAAAUUAAGAGAUGUAAUGGAUGCGAGAUGACACAUGAUAAGAAAAUACGCCAUUUGAAUUGCUAAGAAAGUUACUCUACAUGUAUUGUAAAAUCGAUCAGAUAGAAAAUAGACCAGAAAUAUUAUUUAAUAUAGAGUUAUUUGUGUCGAAGCAAAUAAUUUAUAUAAGAUGAUGUAUAUAAAUAUGUGCAGCUUAGUGGAAAUAUUACAGCACCAAAUACUUUAUGGACAAGGGAAGAGACCAACUUGGUGACAUUCAUCAACAUCAACAACCUCACAUUGGAUGGUGGGGGCCAAAUCGACGGCCAGGGAUCUAUCUGGUGGGAUUGCUAUUCCAAACAUGUGAGUACCCCCUCUCACUCUCUCAUCAACUUGAUCAAUUUUGAAGGAUAGUGUUAUUAACAGAGCGUAAACUAUUUUAAAUUUAUUAAAUCUGAAACAAAAUUCAAUCAGAGUGAAUCAUUGCUCUGUUCACAGAAAUUGUCAAUCAUACAGAUAAAGUGGCUCUCUUAAUAACAGUAUCUACAUAUUUGAAUCCUAAUUUAAUUGAUUUUCCACCUCUAUUUUGCACAGACUUGUAGCAACAGGCCUUAUGUAAGUCUCUCCUUCCCAUACUCAUACUUUUCAAGUUACAUUUACAUAACUUCUAUUUUAUUACAAUGUAUAUAAUAUAUAUAUAUAUAUACUGUUAAAAAAUUAUGUGAUUAUAUAUAUAGAUAGUUGGAUUCUUGGUGUGCAAUAAUCUCUGGAUAAAAGGAAUAAACCUGAAGAACAGUCCAAGCAAGCAUAUGACAUUUUACGCUUGUAACGGCGUUUUCGUUGACUGGGUCUUCAUUACGGCGCCCGGCGACAGCCCCAACACCGACGGCAUCCUCGUCGCCGAUUCCCAUCACGUCCAAAUCCAGUGGACCACCAUCGGUACCGGUACGUACGCACGAAUCAUCGUAAUCCUUAUAAUAUGCGUACAUACCGUAUACUUAUAUAUGUACUCCGAUGUAUUCCUACUCUUGUACAUGAUUCACCAAAGUCCAUAGGAAAUCAUCAUUGUCUUAGGUUUUGAAAUCGUUGUGUCCUUUUGCAUAUUCCACGGUAACGGCUACGACGACGACAAUGAUGAUGAUGAUGAUGAUGAUGAUGAUGAUGAUGAUGAUGAUGGUCAUGGGUGUUUGCAGGAGAUGAUUGCAUUGCGAUUUUAUCCGGUUCGUCGGACGUGAACAUCACUGGGAUAACAUGUGGGCCUGGGCACGGCAUCAGGUGUGUCUAAAUGUUCUACCAUCCUAGUGGAUCAGGAUCUAAUGAUCCUCAACCUUUAGAUAUAUUCGCAACAUGUGCAGUGCAGAUCCCCCAGUUUUUCAGUUAAGAAGGCUCAAGCUAAGCCUUUAACUAGUGUUUCAUAGCAGAUUGAUUGAUAAAAAAAUAAACCCCGAGUCAUAAACUUUGUGAAAUUAUUCAAGGAAAUUGUUGAUUAAUGAUAAAUUUGUGCGCGAUUAAUAUAAUGAACAGCGUAGGGAGUCUGGGGGGGCGUGGUGAGACAGCCAAGGUAGAGCGAAUCCAUGUCUCCUACUGCAACAUUUUUCAGGCUUUGACUGGUGCAAGAAUCAAAACAUGGCAGGUAAAUUUAUGAGCCUCUCUUUCACUAUCAAUUUUGUACUCUGUAUGUGCUUAUCAUAGCAAUAACUAAUGUAUGUAAGUGCCUUUUAUUUUGUGUGUGAAGGGAGGAGCAGGAUAUGCAAAGGAGAUCACUUUUAAGAACAUCAACAUGUCCUCUGUUCAGACUCCCAUCGAUAUUGACCAGAACUACUGCCCUUCAGGAAAUUGCCCCCAAAAGGUAAGCCCCCGAUGCAUAUCGGUGUACACAUUCAUCACUACUUUAAGAUUCAUGCGUUGUAUGCGAUGAACGAAUGAGAAGACUAUGAUUGAUAAGGCAUAAAACUGAAAACAUACAUAAAUAGCCGGGAGCGGUGGCGAUAAGCAAUGUGGAAUUCAUGGACAUACACGGGACGUCAGCAGACGAGGUCGCCGUAAAACUCGAUUGCAGCGACAGCGUUCCGUGCAGGGAACUCCUUUUCGGCGGCAUUUUGCUCACCUGGGAGGGGAAGUCGGCGCCGGCGAAAGCCACCGCCGUCAAUGCCUAUGGCAAAACUGUUGGGAUGGUUACACCCCCAAUUUCCCUCAAAUAGCAAAGUUGUGGGAAUGAUUCUUUUUAUGUUCUCCCUUUUUAUGGUUGAAAUUGAUUUAGUUUUGAUAACUUAGAAAAUUUGUCACUCUCUAGGUGAAAAAAAACAAAUGAAAGAGGGGAAGAGUAGUUUUAGUGGAAACAUAGCCUGCAAAUAAUUAAUUUGGAGUGGCAUGAAAAUGUACUGUUGAUGGUUGUGAAUUUACAUUCCAGCAGAUAUUUCGCAUUGAUGCCACAGAUCACAGAUGUUAAUCCAGCCAUUAAACUUAACAAUUUUUCAUGAGAAUUCAUAUGUAAUCUUAUGCAAAAAAAUAAAAAUGCAACACUUCAAGUAGAUUCAUAGAAAGGUUUUGGAAAAUCUCAAACUUGGCAAACAUGAUGCUCACUACAGAGGCAACAGCUAACCUAGAAGCACACUGAUAUACCAUGUAUCAUCUCGAGUGUUGCGGCACAAAAUUAACCAUAUAAAUAAAGCCAAAAGAGAUGCGGAAAAAGGAAAAGAGCUGAAUUUUAGCUUUGCUCCUCACUGUCGGCAGCGUCCCUUUCUUCUGCAGCAGCAGCCAUCAAUUCGUCAAACUUCUCCGUCUUUCCCAGCAAUAUCUCGAUCUACGAAUUAGUCCCAAGUUUAGUACAUGCGAAAUUUGACCACCAUCUAUCUUUCUUACCAAAUAUAAGAAGAAAGACGAGGAAAAUAUAAGGGUAAAUGGUGUAAAAUAGUUAUGCAAUCAGAUCUAACCUUUGCUUUCUGGAUCGGACGACCUCUUGAUUCGUCUUUCAUAUCAACGGUAGAUGUCAUGAUCUCUACCCAAAAUUCAAGAAGGGUAUAGUUAGAGAAGAAUUUUGACCUUUGAUUAAGAAAAAGGAGUUGCAUAUAUUUUGCACAAAAGAUAGUGCAAUAAAUUAACAGAAGAGACUGGAGAAGCAAGAAGUGUACUCUUCUCGACCGCAAGGCCAUUGUUUUUGAGAAUCUCGGCAACGGUUACGACAGUAGCAAUUGCUGAAAAAUUGAAUACGAGAAACUUAGUUAAGUGCAAACAAACAAGGCAAUAGAAGAAGUAACAGGCAUUCGAACAAUUCUAAUCAACAGCAUAUACAGUUCAAUUUAAAGAACCAAUCUUGAGCACAACUGUACCAAUAGCAGUUGAAAUCUGAAUUAAAGUACAUUCGAAUUGUACAAUACAUCAAUAACUAGCCUCAGAAUAGUCAUAAUCAAACUAUAUGAAAACUUGAAGAGCGCUGCUAAAGAGAUCCAAAGCAUAUCUAUCCAUACUAACUUCGUGGAAUAAAAUACCUUGAAAACCGGCCUCAGCAUAAUAAGAUACUAUGAUACUUUUAUACGCUUCGUGGAAUCAAAUAGAUAAGUAACAUUAGAUCCACAGUUUUGAUAACUAAUCUCAAAAUAUUCAUAACAAAAUGAGGACCGAAAUAGGUUGGACUUCGUAUUUACACAAACUUAGUUUAUCACACAGCUCUGCAUGACGAUUUAGCACGCACGCACGCACGCACGCACACACGGCACACAGAUUGCACAAAUUAUUAUUAUUUUUUCACUGUCCACAUACAGUUAAAGAAUAAGAGGCUUUUGCAGAUGUUCCUCACUAGGUCGAUCAUGUUACUUAAAGUACCAAACUAUUCUCUUAAGUGCUCAACAAAGUUAUGAUUUUCACAACUAUUCUAGCAUGAUGUUGCAAGUAGUCGGUGAAAUAGGAAGGAGAGGAGUUAGCCAAUGAAUAAUUGAUAGCAGGGCCGCAUAAGUAUGAAAAAGAUAGAAUAUAUUAAAUUAGAAAGUACUUGCAUUAUUGAUGGUUAUACAUGAGAAUGUUGAAAAACUAAUUAGGCUUUAUAAAAUCCCCAUCAAUGUUAUAUCCCAAUAAACAUUCAUUUAUAACUAAUUACAGAGGCCACAAGAUCAAAAUAAAAAGACAUGGAGAAGUGUAAGAAACAAUACCCAUUCCGAGAGCCGAAAGCUCCACUUCAUUAUGCUGCUGCAUAUACCUCUGCAUCCACAAUUAAAUUCAUCAGCCAAAAAAGGUUACAAUAGAUUUAAAAAAAAGAAGAAAAACACAAGAAAUUACAAACCUAUUCUCAUCUAACUAAAACACAUAAGAUCAUAGUAAAAAUAUGAACUUUACAUGUCAGAAACAAUAAAGGAAAGAAUAAAACCAUUAAGAUCCAUACUUUAAACUUCAAAAUACAAAUACUACAAACAUCACAACAGAAUAUAAACAAAUCAAGCAUCCCGAAAAGGAAACACCGCAACAACAAAAGUAGAUCAAAACUACUACCAAAAGCUACGGGAAAAACACCAAAAAGAGCUUCCUUCCCCCCAACCUUGCCAAAAAAAAAAAAGGAAAAAACUACACGGGGAUGAUACUGAGAAAGGAGCCUUUUGUUUUACCUUGGCGAGGUUGACGUAGAAGAAGAGCGGCUUCUUAGUGUUGGAGACCUGGAUCCGGUUCUUCUUGUGGGGCUCGGCGACGCUGAGGUUGUUCACUCCCUCGGUGAUCUCCUCCAUGGCAAACGAUCGCACCACGAGAACCAAAAACUCUUAACCCUAACCCUAGUUUCGCCCCAGGAGAAGCAGCUAAAGCCUAAAAAGACCUUUUUAAGGCGUUGAAUUAAAAUUGGGAUUUUUUCUUUUUUUUUUUUUUUUGGCUUCUUUUCUCUGGGGAAGGAAUUGUCAUAAAUAUCGAGGGUUAGGGUGUAAAAGUGGUCAGCUAAUAAUAGCCGUCCGAUCCGAAUUCGAGUUAGAUUUCGGUGGAAUCCGAUUUUAGUUUAGUAUAUACACAAUACAUGAAAAUACGAUUUUUUUUAAUUAAAAAAUACUUCAUCUUAAUUUAUCUACAGGAUUUUUGUAAAACUCACUCAUUUAUCUGGUCUAAUUCUACGGUUUUAUACAUACGUAUACAAAAAUUAAUGUACACUGUAGUUACUUAAAUUAUGCCCAUGUGGUGCCUCUGAUUUGAAUAAUCUAUAUGUUUAUUUGGAUAUUGUAUAUAUCUUUAUCAUGUACGUAUUCAAAUUUGUAUUCGAAUAGGUAUGUAUAUAUAUACUCACUAUCUAUUUUGGAAUGGUAAUGGGCCGGUAUAGGCCCAAAGCCCAUUGAACAAGUUCUAUAACGUGAAAUAAGCUUUGCACGUAAUGGGCCUAGCUGGGCCCUUUAUUGCCAUUCCCAUCACAAUAUGAUCGAAGAGCUUCCGCGUAUGGCUCAUUUAAUUAAACAUUUUUAUUUGAAAAACUUCAAAUACCACAUCGGUUGUUUCAUCCUUUUUCAUUUUAAUAUCCUAUGAUUUAAAGUGUAUCAAUUUAGUGUCAUGUGAUUUCAUUUUUAUCUUUUUAUUAUCGAUUCCAAAAAUUUUUUUGGUUAAAUCAGUUACAAAAUUAAAACUAAAGGGUAUUAAAGUGAAUAUUCGAUAAAUCUAGAUGAACUAUAUGAAGUUUUUUACAUAUAAUUUAAUAAAAUAUUAAUAAAAAAAAUUGAUGAAAAGAUAAAAAUGAAACAACAAGACACUAACUUGAUACACUUUAAACCACAGGAUAUGAGAUAUUUGAAGUGAAAAAGUGUGAAAGUGUAAAACUGCAGGAGUGGUAUUUGAAGUUUACCUUUUUAUUUUGUGUAGGAGGGUAAGAACAAAAUUCAUCUUUAAAGCUACUGCAAAUGAAAUUAUCAUAUUGUCACUGAUUAUAUUUUUAUCAUCUUACAUGACACAAUAAAAUUAAUCAAAAUUAAUUUUAUUGUUUAAAAUAACUUAUUAUUUAAAAUGUCAUAUCAUACAAUAAAAAUAUUUAAAGUCUUAAAGCAAAAAUAUUUCAUAAUUAGAAGAUACGUAAUAAAAAAUUAGGAUUAAAAUUUUUAGGAUGGAUAAAUAAAAAAAUAUAUAUAUUAAUUAAGAAAAUAUAUUUUGUAAUUAAAAAGUAUAUGUGUGGGUACUUGUGGGUACCCGCGGAUUACCCAAAAUGUUUACAGAGUAACGGGUAUCCACCCGUUUUAUCCGUAAUUUUUUGAGUUAAAAAAGUUGAUACUCAUAUUCAUAAAUUUGUAAAUAACUCGUCAGCAUUCGCGGGUUUGGAUGGAGAUUGCCAGGUCUAAACACGGGGCCAUGCAGUUGCCGACAGGCUUAUUGAAUUCCCCCUUCUUUGUGUCGGGUUGUGUUGUGUGGAUAAGCACCAUUCAUAAAUGCAGUGAUGCCCACUUAAUUUAGUUGCUUGUCAAAUUCUUUCGCCAAUUUGAUUCCAAAUUUUGCCCAUUUAAUGGUUAUAUUCAUAUUAUGCUUUUGAUAAUAAUGGUUCGAAUUUUAUAAUUUUACGGUGUGGCAUUAUGAUUUUCAAUAAGAAAAUGAACGGCGAGAAAGAUACAAUUUGGUAAGAAUAUCAGUCUCCUAUUUGAUAAAACUUAAAAUUCCAAUCCAUAUUAAUGUGAAUGAUUUUUUUUUUUAUUUUCAAUCUAUCAACUUAAGCUUUCUUGAUGGUAUUAAUGACCUCUCAUUAUAUGAUUAUAGGUUUAAUCCUACAAUUUGGUACCCCCCACUAAUUUGGUGAAAUGAUUCUAAAAGAAUUUAGUCCUCAUGUUCAAAAAUGUCCCAACCAAAGAAACUCUUGGUGAUAAAUAAUUGAGAGCUUUUAACAAAGGAGGGUAACAAUCAACCCAAAUCCACCUCAAAAAAUAGCAUAAUAUUUUGGAUUCAUAAAAGUCUUAACUUAGAGCAGGAAUGUGGUUUCAACUUUUGACCGACCGUUCUUAGAGCAAGUGGCAAAGGACAUGGUGGUUGGUACUCGAGAUCCCAAGUUCGAAUCCUAGUUGAUUCAUGUUUUCAGCUAAAUUUAUUUUUAAAUAAAAUAAAAGAAGCGGGUAGUAUGCUAUCUUCCUCUUAAAAAAAAAAAAAAAAAACUUUUGCCCAAUUAGGAGCCCCACAAAAUGGACAUGAAACAACCACUUGGUGUGUGAUAGAUUUAAGUGGGAACCACCAAACAUCUUGAAAGGUUGGCCCACAAAAUAUGCUGUAACUAAAAUUGCUGCUUCUUCCAGCAUCUUCUUUAUGAUGAUAGAUUACCACAAAUCUGAAACUACCAGAAAGUCAAUGGAAGGUUACUCUCCAUACAUUACAAUAUUAGUGCUUAUCCAACAACUGUUACAAGUCACAUCACUAAACUAGUUUUCUUAUAUAUUGCAGAUGUGUUAGCAUACAUUUAUUCUAUUUUAAACCACGCGUAUAAAUUGUUCAAAAAAAUUGUAAAACAUAUUAACAAAUUAUAAAUCUAGCAACUUGUGGGAUUCUUACAUAAGCUCCAAACAAGAGGCAAGAUGCUGAAUACAAGCAAAAAAGACAUCAUUCUUUAACUAAUUUGAGCUUUUAUUUGAGUUUUUAAAGUAAUAAGUUAUUUUCACACAAUGCAUAAUAAACCACUAGAUGCUAUUGCUGAGAUCACUAUCCAACACUCAUAGUAGACAAACAAUAUAGAAUUCUCUAGAUUGAGAGAAGGUCAUUACAUAGAUAGGGAUUCCCAAUAUAUAUAACUAAUUUGAAAACAUAUAUAAACACAAUUAUUUGUUAUUAAUUUUAAUAAAAACCACAGACCAAACAAUUUCCCAUGAUAUUAGCAUCCCAUCAUCAUUACAUAGCAUCACUCCAUUGAAAUCAAUGAUAGAAUAUAACUCCUAUCAAUUAUUGAAUAGCAAACCCUAGAACAGUACAUCUAACUAACCUGCCUUGUUAGUGCAUCAUGUGCAAUGCUGGGAGAUGUUCACAUUUUAUAUAUAUAUAUAUUUAUUUAUUUUAGUGUGACAGUUAAAACAUAGACCUGUAAUCAAAGCAUCAUGUGCAUUUCUGAGAGAUCACAGUUAUUAUAUUACCUAGGAAUUGUAUGAAUAUGCUUAUAUUAAAACAAUAAUAACUCACCAAAAAUCAUGUGGAUCACCUUACCCUCAGUCAAACAUUCAAAACAUAGACCACAUUCCAAAGGAGACAAGAUUCAAUGAAGCAUCUGAACAUGGCUCUAAAUCAUGUAGAGUAGAAGAAAAAUAUUAAAAAAAAAAAAAGGCAAGAGCCAAAUAUAAUUAAAAAGAAAAGAACCCAAGAGAGAGGAUUUGACAUCUUUGAUAAGAUUAAUAGAAGUACUAACUAAUUAAUCUUUGAUACUUAAUCAUAAUUUAUAGGCAUCAAAGAUCCACACAUACACAUAGUUUUGCAAAUAUAACCUCAAUCUCAAACCAUCUUUUAUCUUCUUCUCUUUUUGCCCCUCUUUUAUGACUCAUCUCAAGCCAUGCACGCAUGAUGAUCAGGAAAAACAGGAGAAAUUGGUGAAUUAAAAUACAAACAAGGCUAAUGCUUUCUAGGCUUAGAAGGCUUUUCAUUGCUGGGUUUUCUGAAUAUGCUACAGAGAAUGCACCCAGAUACCUUUGGAGACGGCGGGUCGACAGCAGGCGGAAUAUCUGCAGUGCGAAAAGCUGCCGGUUGUUUCCCGUCUUUCUUGCCGCCGCCCCUCUCCCUGGCAGCAGGACAAGCAGUCUUCGCUCCAUCUUCACGGCUGCGGUCCAGCAUGGCAAUGGACCCAACACUUCUGGAGUGCCUCAGCUCCCUGAAUUCUGGUUUUUCUUUCUCCCCAUCCUCCUUUUCAUUACUUUGAUUUGGGUCCCCAGAGAGGAACUUCUCAUCCCAAACUAGCCCUGAUGAGCCUGAUCUUCUGAAGGUUUGUGCAGAUCUCUGUAGCCCAGCCAUGUCUCUCUCUCUCUCUCUCUCUCUCUCUAGAGUUUUAUGAGACAAAAGAGAGAAUAUAAGAAGAGUAUAGCACUUGGAUUAGUCUUGUGACAUAUAAAAAGGAUAGGAAAGGGAUGGGAAAUAUAUAGAGGAGAGGAGAGAACAGUCAAGAGAUGGGUUAUAUGGGAGUUAUGAAAGAGGAGAGAGAAAGAGAUGGGUGGCUCAUAAUACAAUAUAUAAUUAGGAUAAUUAAUACAUCAAUUUGUAAUUAAAUUUAUAGUGUGACUAAGUUUGUUUUGUCCCUUUAUGCAGGUUAUACUUAUUAGAUUGCUUUUAAACGUAAAUAACAAUGUUGUUAAGACUAAAUAAUUGACUAAAUAUUAGCUCAAACAUUUGACCAAUCAAGAUAGUAUAAAUCAGAAAUAAUCAGCGAAAUGCUAAGUUGAAAUUUUAAGCCUCAAAAGUAUGAGAUUCAAUUUUGCAGUACUCAUUGUUUGUAGGAAAAACCUGCUAGGAAUAUUAUUAGCAUACAAUUCUUAAUUUAAAAGAGUAUUUAAAAGUACUUCAUCAAAAAGCACUUAGAACCUAUAGCAAAAGGUGACAGGCCUUUAAGCAGCGGGAAACUAUUUUCUACAUGUGUUCAUAACUUCUAUCAUUUCACCAUGGUGCAAUAUUAUGCAGCCGCAUUUAAAUUAAAAAAUCAUUAAUAAACAAUAAAAAGAUGGUCCACGGAGACUAAAGUUGAGUAACUAAUAAGACAUCAAUUAAUAGUAAUAAGUUUACGCAACCACUUUGACUUCGACCAUAUGAAGUUGCAAUCACAAAAAGAAAAACCAUGCAACAAGAAGCAUAUUCAAACAGCAGAAAUUCAAAUCCUGUUCUAUGGUUUAGUUUCCAAUACUAUGCAAUCGACUGAAAUUUAAACAGAAUUGUCAAAAUUUAUAUAGAAUCAUCUCUGUGACUACAUAAUUAAAAUCAAGUCCAGCUCUAAACGUUGAGAUAGAUAUGGUUUAGUUUCCAAUACUAUGCAAUCGACUGAAAUUUAAACAGAAUUGUCAAAAUUUAUAUAGAAUCAUCUCUGUGACUACAUAAUUAAAAUCAAGUCCAGUUCUAAACGUUGAGAUAGACGAUUUUGGUUGAACACUUCGACAGCGAUGGCUAAAUUUAACACCAGCAAAUUAUCACAAACAAAAUUUUUACCCUGUAAUUUGCAUUAAUAGCCAAUGCCAAGCUCAGAUAACUUGGUAAAAAGAUCCUUGACUAGACAACUAUACAUCAAAUUAAGGGUACAUUACAAAAUUAAGGAAAGCAUGGAAAUUCCCCAAUACAAACCAUUUUAUUCUUCAAGCAAAAAUUUCUUGAUAUAAACUAAUGAUACAAACGUGAAAAAUACAAAGAUCUCAAAUUCAUAGAGUUAGGCACAUCAAUUAUUUACCAGUUUGAGAAUCUAUACCUCCCCAGUAACAAAAAAUAGAAAAAAAAAAAAGAAAAAAAAAAAGAAAGAAAAGGGAAAAGAAACAGCGGCUAUAGAUGCAACAUGAAAUCACUUAGAUCAAUUCAUUCCGACAAGAACCAUAUCGAUCUGUUGACGUGCGAACAUAUUCAUAAAUUGGAGACCGAAUUCACCUUUUUUGGCAGAAUCUCGUGGUAACCUGGAUCGCCCUCAUGAACCCAUGUAGAGAUAAGAUGGUGGGCGAUGGCAAAAGGCCCAGGAAUAAACAUCUGGGCGAGCUCACCGCUCUCCACAUUGAAGUCCGAGGAAGGAAAGUUUUGACCUUUCUCAACACCUUUGCACAUCUGAUUGACCUUAAAGGCGGCAGUUCUCUGCGCUUUCUCAUAUUCUGCGAAUGUCAGUGCUUUCUUCACAUCCUCUCUACUGUGCCAUUCGGCAUCUGAAAAUUAGAGGAAUGAAUUGUUUAAGAGGAUGAGCUGAUGCAGAACUUACUCCAAUAUAUUUGAAGGGUGUUUAUCAAUAUGGACCAAUGUAAAAUUAGAAACAUGAAUAAGAAGACAUGGAACAUAUGCUAGUAUCAUUUUAUAAUACCAUAUUAAGAAAAGUUAAAAAUUUCAAACAACCAUAUUUUAUUUUAUUAAACAAAUAAAUCAGACAAAUCAAUAAUGCAUUACUUAUGAUUAUUAGUUAAAAAGUACCUUCCAGCUCCUCCUUGUCCACACGAAUUUCAAAUGAUGUAGCAUAUGCAAAGAAGCCCACCAUCAACUGGCAUGGCAUACUGUUUGGCCCCACUGAAAAUAAUCAUAUAUCAAACAUCAAUCACCAUGAUGCAAUUCUUAUUGUUUUCUAAAUCGAUAAUUAGAUGAACACAUAAAUAGCCAGUAGGUAGCCAGUAAGGCAUAUAUUUAGCCCAUUCAGCAUUUAGUUGGUAUCAGGUUAACUUGGGCUGCAAAAUAAUUUGUAAAUGAUCCCACAUAUAAUUGAUCACUGUUAGCAACUCACAAGAACAAACUGAAUCCAAAGAAAUGGUGCAACUAUAGAAAACAUACAUCACAUUUCCAACAUAAAUAAAAUGAAAUCAUUAAGCCUAAGUUGAUACCAGGCCAUGGCUGCGAACUAUGAUAUACAACUUCGCCAACUUCGAUACCAGUCUCUUCCCACGUUUCUCUUCUCACUGCCUCUUCUAAGCUUUCCCCUGGCUAAGAACAGAGAUUUUCAGUCAAUAAAAUCUUCAUGAAAUGCUGUACAAAUCGAAAUAACGAUUUUUCAGACAUCAACUAGUCCUUUUGUCAGAAAAAACUUCUUUGGGCCAGAUCAAGCAAUUUUCAACUUGCAAAAUGUACCGUCCAACAGCAUUAUAUUGUUUAAUAACAGUCACAAAGCGCAAUUUAGUAUAGCUUUUAAGAACAGACAUGUUCUUUCAUGUAUUAAACCACAGGUCACGUAUUCCUUAGAUCGUACGUAAAUCUUAAUGCAAAACUUUUCACAAAGAAAUAUUGGAAUUUGCUUCUAAAUGUUUGCCUCCACGAGAACUAAAAGAUUGAAACAACAUUUAGACUAGCAUAACGGGGUCAGAAUCUUGUGCAAUAAAAGAGGUGUAAUUUAGUAAAAUAAGAAUAUUUAGUGAAGUUCAGCAGGAGAAUUCCAGUACCUCGAUGAAACCAGCAAGGCAACUCCACAUACGUGGUACAAAUCUUGAUUGGCGGCUCAAAAGUGCACGAUCAUUUGCUUUAUCAAUAACCAACAUAAUCACAACCUGUUAAACAUCAAAAGACACAUUUAGUUAUUAAAGUGACCAAAUCCCUCAGUUCCAUGAAGCACAACAAUAUAGAGCAAACAUUUCAAUUUUAGUUCCUAGUUCCACCGAGAUUCAAGUCUACAUAUUGCAACUCAUAAUUUAAGCAGGGAUAAAACAUACAGGAUCAACUCGAGGGUAUACUCUCUUCUUGCAGGUCUCAUCUGUGCAUUGCUUCCGUCUCCCUGCACCAAUAGGAACUGUCCUGGAUCCGCAGUUUCCACAGAACCGCGAAAUACGGUGCCAUUCUAGUAAUGCCCUGGCCUGUUCAAAGGCAAAUCAAUCAGAUAAAAUCUCUAUUUUGCAUUACUGAAUAAAGCAUAGACAAAGAACAGUUUAGUCCAAACUUGCUGUUUCAUAGAUGGUACUUGGAAUAACAAAAAUAAGAAAUUAAUGGACUCAAAUAUACAGCCACAAAAUAAAACAUGCACAUGUGAUCAAUAAUAUAAUGAAGAAGAAGAAGAAGAAGAAGAAGAAGAGCACAUACAUGGCCAGCAAUGGCUAACUCCCCCAUGGUGCCGAUGUCGGCCCAAUCAGUGGCGACCAUCAGAGUUCUCAGCUCGACGAAGCACAAUCCAUCCCUCUCCCCACCCAAUUCGACACCCCGCGAUUCAGAAACAUCAAUAGCCCAAUAAACCGCGUCCUCCUCCUCUCCCGACCCCGAACCUGAACCGGACCCCAAAUACACGAACGAAUCGGCAGAGAAACCCUUGAAUUCGGACGGCGAAACCCACCCGAGGUGCCACUUCGGCGCCGAAUCCGGAGCCGAAUCCACCGAUCGCGCCAAAGGCCGGCCCUUUCUGAAGGGUAGCACCUUGAGAUUGAGACCAGGGGAAGGGGCCUCACACUCCUCUCCGGCGACGAGGAGGGAUCUGAGGGCGUCCAGGGCGGCGCCGCCGUCGCCGCCGCCGCCGUCGGGUUUGGCGUGGAGAGUCUUUAGAGGGUUUCCGGCAAAGGCAUGGGCGUGGAGAUGGAUGGACAUGGUGGUGAGAACGGAGAUAGGGUUUCCUCCUCUUCUUCAAACCUGUGUUAGAGUUAGUGUUGGGGUUAGGGUUAGGGUUAGGGUUAGGGUUUAGCCGCCAUUGUCGACGCCGUAGCGUGUGGGAUUUGGGAGGGAGACGAAGAAGAGAGAGAGAGAGAGAGAGAGAGAGAGAGAGGAUACGAAGAGUGGGUGAAGUGAAGGCGCUCAGAGUGUGCCACGUUGGUCUGUUUGGGGGAAAUUGCAACGUAGUCCUUAAUUCAUGGUAUUAUAAUUAAUUAGUAUCUAAAUUGUCACGUAACUACAUCAGCAUUUCAAUUGUGUUUCGAUAGAAAUGCAAGAAGAUCCUUUAAAUAUUAUCUUUUCUUGACAUUUUUAUAAAUGUCUAGUUAUUUUGAUUUUAAUUAGCUUAAUUAAUCAAAUUAUAAAUUUUAAUAUAAUUAAUAAAAGAAAAGAUAUAACCCGAAACGCCCCAAAGAGAAACACCAUUUAACAAAUAAAUUUUAGAAUAAUCCUGAGUAUGAUUCACGGAUCGCAAAAUAAAAUUUGUUCUGAUCAAAUCCAACCCGAUUCAUUACAAAUCAAAAUCGAGUCAAAUAAUUUUUGCUUAGAUCUAUUCGGUAGUACUUUGUAAAAACCAAAAUAAUUAAUGUACUAAAAACUUGUUUGGCCUAGCAGCAGCACUUGUCUUAAAAUGUAAAAUUAUAUGAUUGCGUGUGAAACCACAUGCACAAUUAUACAUUUCAAAAGAGCCACUACAAUUAUGCGCCAAAAAAGUCUUGGACAAUACAGCAGCUAAACAUCUACUAAAUCUUUUAUUAAAUCAAGAGAUACACAUAAAAUAUUUUUUGUGACCACUGUUUUUGCUCUUUUUUAAGCAAAAUUUACGUGUCUGAUCAAAAAUCAAGCAACUAAUAUGUGCAUGGUAUUAGUGAAAGGUCUAGAAAACAUAAUAAAGGGAAAAAAUUUAUAAAAAAGAACUAGGGAAUAGGCAAAAUUAGUCAUUUAUUGCUUCGUAUAUGACUGCUAUUACAUAUUUAUCAUAUCACGUGUACCAUAUACGAGAAUAUUAUGUCAUCACAUCUCCCUCGUGGCCAUUCUCAUCUCUUGUGGCCCAAAUCACUUUCAGGUUUCUUUACCUGCCACUGAAAAAAAAUUUCUCAACUAAUUAAGACAAAAAAAAAUAAUAAUAAUAAGAGAAAUUUGAAAAAAUUUUAAGUUUCUUUCAAAUCAAAUUCCAAUAAGAAAACAACAUUUACCAGGUUCGCGAGGUGCAUUGCAUCCGAAGCACUCCGUCCUGCUAGCGAAGUUGUGUUUGUUGCAACCCGGCCUGCGAAAACACAGAGACGGAUUAGUGACACUAAUAAGUGGAUCAUAUCGCGUCGAUCACUACAGAAUUGUUUAGUGGCACAUUCUUUUAGAAAAUUUUAGUUAGCUCAUAGUGUUAACAACCUAAAAAAUUGCUUGUAAUUAGUUACCUUAACAUAUGCACUGUGAGACUACUACACCUCAAAAAACAAAAUAAAAAUAAAACAACGAGGAAAAUAUAUAUAUAUAUAUAUAUAUAUAUAGAGAGAGAGAGAGAGAGAGAGAGAGAGAGAGAGAGAGAGAGAGGCUGGAAUACUAUUGAUAGGAAAAGACACUUUUUGCUAGCAACUUUUUAAUUCUUGGAUGAGAAAUUGUAGGAUUAGGAUAAUAUUAGUCCCUUAGGGUUGAGUAAUUUUCACUGGGUUAUAAUAUUUAAUCUAAUAAUUAGAAACGAUGAAAGAAAUUAAUUUAAAAACUAAAAACUUGAUAGCAAAAAAAUUUUUUUACUAUCAAUAAUAUUCUAACCCAACUCUCUCUCUCUCUCUCUCUCUAUAGAGACAGAGAGAGAGAGAGAGAGAGUCCGGCUAUAGUACUUGUAAAAGCACAAAGCACUUAGUGCUUAUAAAUUUUUUACCGUCAGAUAUACGUCUUUCAUCAUUUUUACCCGUUAGAUUAUACUAUUCAACCAACCACCCACUCAAUCCUAGGGGGCCCACAUCAUCCUAACCGCACAUCUCUUAAUUUAAGGGUCGAAAACUUACAAAUACCAAUGACUUGAUUUUUUAAAAGUAUAGAGGUUCGAUUAUAUAUAUAUAUAUAUAUAUAUAUAUAUAUAUAUAUAUAUAGAGUGAGGUUACUAUGCUAUCGGAAGCACGGAGCCUUCCGUGCUUCCAACUCGUUUUCGAUGUUGCGACUUUCGAAUCGUCGAUCGGCUCCGUUAAACUUGAUCUAGAGUAUUUGAAGUACCUAGAAAAUAAAUUUUAUGAUUUUACGAUAUCAUUUGCCUAGUGAACGAAGGGGCUCAAAAUCAACGGCUGAAAAUAAAAAUCUUACAAAAUGUAAUAAUAUGACAUUAAAAUUUUAAAUCAAAGAUAUUGAUCUUGUUUUAUAUAGUAUAAAGAAUUUUCUAUCAAAAUUUCACGUGAUUUGGAUAUUUCUACACCGUUAAACUUGCAAACGGCUCACUACGGCCAUUGAAAUUUGUUGAUUUUGAGCCCAUUCGAUCACUAGGCAAAUGAUAUCGAAAAAUAAUAAAAUUUAUUUUCUAGGUACUCCAAAUACUCUAGAUCAAGUUUAACGGAGCCGAUCGACGAUUCGAAAGUCGCAACAUCGAAAACGAGCUGGAAGCACGGAAGGCUCCGUGCUUCCGAUAGCAUAGUAGCCUCACUCUAUAUAUAUAUAUAUAUAUAUAUAUAUAUAUAUAUAUAUAUAUAUAUAUAUAUAUAUGUAUGUAUAUAUAUAUAUAUAUGUGAGAAGUUCAUUCCAAGUGUUUGGUAACGGAGGCUUUGUACGUAUCAGAUUUUAAAAACCAAAGCAUGUAUAUAAUCCAAUUAGACUGAUUGGAACUGUUGCAGUGUACUAAAAAUUCAAUAAUUAAUGUUCGAGUUCUUAAGUUUAAAAUUUAAUUAUUUCACAUUUGUAAUUAAGUUUAUUUCUAAUAAAAACAAUGAAGAUAAUUUGCCACCUUCCUCUUUUUUAAAAAAAAAAAAAAAAACCUAAUUAAUUAGCUGUAUCUUUGGAUAAGCAAGUUUGCUUCUUUGUUUGUUUGUUCCUCCUCCAAUAUUCCCCCAUCGUCCACUCUCCUUAACUUUGUUUUUUUGCGAGGAAAGAAGGAUAAAAGGGGUGCAAACUUUGAUGUUGCGUUUUGAUCUGGUGCACUGCACCUUUUCGUUCAUCAAAAUUAUCUUAUACUUUAUUUCCCAUCAUUUAUAGAGUUAUAAAUAGUACAAUAAGAUAUUAUCAACAUUUAUGAACUGAUCGUUCCAUUGAUCGCUUACUUUCAACUAACCAUCUAUACAUCUCAUUGAAAGAAAGAAAAAAAAAGGUUGAAACUUCGUGAAAGGAAAAUAAUAAUAAUAAUAAUAAUAAUAAUAAUCACGGUGCACAUAAUAUCUAUACUUCUAUACUAAUAUAUGAAUCCCCAAUAUCUUGCUGACAUGGUGUUAGCUCCUUCUUUCAAAACUGCUCUCUUUCAUCUCCCAACCUCCAAAACCCUUCAUCUUCAAAACCGUUCCCUCCUUAUCUCCCAAUAAAAUCACAAUUGGAUGCAUAUAAUUGCACCAAAACUAUUCCCUCUCAUCUCCCAACCUCCAAAAUCCCUCAUCUUCCAAAACCGUUACCUCCUUAUCUCCCAAUAAAAUCACAAUUGAAUGCAUGUACUUCAACAAAAUUUUGUAGAAUUAUUGACCUUCCACCUGUUGAAUUGAGAGCGCAAUAGAAUAAAAGGUUCGAUUUCUUAUAGCUCUACUUCUAGCAAUAGUUUCUUUUUUCGUUUUUCACAUUUAAUUUGUUGUUCGCUUGGAGGUUAGGAAAGCAUUUUUGGGUGUUUUUUUUGUAUUUUUGGCAUAUAUUAUGUUUUUUUUAAUUCGUUCUAACUUCUUGAAAAGUUUCCUUUUGUUUCAGAGAGAUGAUUAUUUUUUGUCUUGAAUGUUUAGAAUAUUUUUUCAAUAUUAUUAUGGGAAUUUUUUCUCCUCAAGGGGCUUUUUAUUGUUGGUUUUAUUGUUGAUUUCUAUAUUUUUCCUCUUAAAUACAAACCGACACUAAUGUGACACUGAUAAUAUUAGAUUAUUAUCACAGUGUAUUAUACAAUAAUUAAAAAAUCGCAUCGAUGUCGCGCAUGAUAUAUAUAUAUAUAUAUAUAUAAUGCUCGGGUUACUUCAUUAUUGAUUUUUUAAAAAAAUUUGAUUUGCGUCAAAAAAAGAAUCAGACGGAUGAAUCUGCUUAUUUGAUUUGUUAAAUGUCAAUUAAAAUCUUUUCAGUGUGCUCUUUAAUAUUUAUUAUCUUUCACUUGCAAUAUUUCAAACAUUUUUUUUUAUAAUAUCUAUGUAAUAAUUUUUCUUCUCAUAUAAUUCUUACUUUUUUUUCGGUUUCUUUUAUUAUUUUUUGUUGAGUUGUGAUUCCAUUUUAAAUAUUUUUUAAUGUGUUUUUUAUAUUAUUAAGUCUAAUCAAAUAUAGUUAUAUUUUUUUUCUUCUUUACAUUCAUAUUUAUUUAUUUAAUUUGUAAAUUUUUAUUAAAAUUUUUUUUUUUGCUGCAUCGCGCGGGACACUACACUAGUAUAAUAAGGAUCUUGAAAAGAACUAUACGGUGCAUAUAUAUAUAUACUAUACCUAGUGCAAAUCCAGUCGCCGAACUUCCACCCGGCGCGCGCACGAGUGCGCGGUGCGUAGCCGCCGCCGCUGCCGAAUCCGAAGGAGGAGUUGGCACCGCUGGCUGCCGGGGGCCGCUGCUCGUGGCAGCGCUGGCAGGAGUCGCGGCGGCUGAAGUUGAGGUGAUUGCACGACAUGCAGUUCCAGUCUCCUGGCUUCCUAUUCAUCUUCUCGGCCGAGCCCUGCAUGUACAUAUAGUCGCAUAUAACCAAGCUAAGCCACCAGAUAGUCGCAUAUCUGAAAAACUGACUUAUCAACUGCACUUUUUAAUAUACGGAGAAAGAGAGAGAGAGAGAGAAGUGUAUACUUUAAGAUGAGGAAGAGGAGUGAGGGGAGAGAUUGUUUGGGGGAGCUAAUUAAGUUGUGGGUUUGUAUGAUUGAGAAGGUUGAGGAGGGGGGGCUUUUAUAGUGGUGCCUCAAUAAUAGAGAAUCAAGAAUGGGAUGUGGAGGGCCGGGGCUGUUCUCCCUUUUUCUUUUUCUUUUUUUUUCUUUUUUUAGUCCCCCUUUUGUAACUGUCACACCUUGAGCAUUAGUGGAAUCUCAUAAAAAACUUUUCUUUAAAAAAAAAGGAAAAAAAAAAAGAGAAAGGGCAUUGAGGGGGGAUGCUAAAGAUGGCUAAAUAAUUAUGGGGAAUUUGAAUAUAUUUGGCUUCCAUAGUACAUCUUUUUCUAGAGAUGGAUGGGAGAGAAAAUAUAUUUGUUUCUAUUUUCAGUUCUCGAUCGCAUCUAAGUUCGAACUUAAAUUGGAAGCUCCGCAUCCUCACUUAUAGAUAUGUAUGAUUUUCAACCUAUAUAUAUAUAUAUAUAUAUAUAUAUAGAGAGAGAGAGAGAGAGAGAGAGAGAGAGAGAGAGGACUACUAUACUCUUAUAACUAUAGAACCCUUCAUAGUACUCGUAAGUCGUUUUUGAUGACAGAGUUUCCGAAUCGACGAUCUAUACCGUUAAAUAUAAUUUAAAAUAUUUAAAACUUCUUAAAAAUAAAUUUUGUUAUUUUUUUAAAUCAUAAUAAAAUCUAUCAAGCAGGUAUAAAAUAAACGGUCAAAAUCGAACGACAUUCUAAAAAUAGAUGAUUGGAUCCUUCAAUUUAAGAUCGGAGUUAUUGAUCUUUUAUAUCUAGAUAGUGAAUACAUUUUUUUUUAUCAAAAAUUUAAUUUAUUCCGAUUCUUUUACACCGUUAAACUAGCAAGUAUUUCAUACCGGCCGUUAAAAAUUGUAAAUUUUGUGACAUUUUGAUUAUAACGUAAAUGAUGUCGAAAACGUAAAUAAUGUCGAAAAAUUAUAAAAUUUGAUUUCUAGAAAUUUUAAAUGCUCUAGAUAAUAUUUAACGGUAUAGAUUGUCGAUUCAGAAGCUCUAUCAUAAAAAAUGACUUACGAGUACGAAAGCGAUCGUACUUAUUAGAAUAUAUAGUAGUCGGAUUCUCUCUCUCUCUCUCUCUCUCUAUAUAUAUAUAUAUAUAUCUUUAUCUUUGUUGAAGACAUUAAAAUCUCAUUAUGUCAUAUUAUUGCUAAGCCUAGCUAAUUCUAAAUUAUUUUCAUAAAAUUAAUUUUUUAAAUAACAUGGUACAUAUCAAAAGCAACGCCACUAGGUGGAUUGUUAAUUAAGAUUUAUUCUGAGUUAUUUUCUAGGAGAUCAAUCUUUUCAAUAUAUAAUAUAGUUCUACGUAAAAUCUGAGUUUGAGAGGGCUACAGAAUAUUGUCAACAAUUGUUAAUUAUCUCGGGAUUCAUAUAUUUGUGUGCUUAGUUGGUGUUGAGUAGGGAUGCAAAUGGAUCCGGGUUGGUGGAGCUCUGUCCCGAAUGGCGUGGUAAGUGGGAGCAAAAAAUAUAAAAAAAAUAUAACCCGCCCCGAAUCCGCCCCAAUCCGCCAAGUAAAUGGAGCGGGAGGUGGGAGACUCUUUUCUUCCUUCAAUCCGCCCCGAUCCGUCAAAAAUCCGGCUCCCGCCCCGAUCCGCCCCGAAUGGAGCGGUAAGUGGGAGCCAAAAAUAAAAUGAAAAGUAACCCGCCUCAAAUCCGUCCCGCCGCGAUAAGAAAUGGAGCAGAGGUGGGGAAACUCUCCCGCCCCCAGAUCCGCCCCGUUUGCAUCCCUAGUGUUGAGUUCUUUAAGUAGCUAAACAUGUAUGUGUGUGACAAUUAAGUACUCUCAUGAGUUAUGACUAAUAUUAUAUAUAUCCUAGCCUAAAUGGAUAUCACCAAUUAGGACCACCACCUCUUUUUACCUCAAUUGAUCAUCUCAUUUACACUAUGCGCCUUAUAUACCUAAAUGAGUACUGUACCUGUACAUGAAAUUUGUCGUACUUACGUGGAAAGCCUCUCAACAGUGAGACAGUUUAAUCGGUCGUCCAUCACAUGCACUGCUCAAAUCUUUACGUAAUAAUAAUAUGGAUUAUAAAUUAUAUGCGUUUGCGAAUAUAUCUACCUCCAAUCGGCAAGUAAAAAUGUGACAUGAUCUAAGUUAAAAAGAUGCUGGUUAAUGCUUGGACAUUAAUGGUGUAUUAUUGGUGUAAACAAUGCAAUCGCGCAAUUAAAAAGAAUCAAUUCCCAAUUAUAUAGGGGGAGGGGGGGGGGCAUAAAAAGCCUAUUCUGAUCUCUUAUUCGUUAUCUAACUUGUCCUUCUCUUUAGCAAUAAUUCAUAAAGGUCAUAGAUUCACAGCUACAAUUAAUUAAUUCGUACGUUCCCUUAGCAUCUCCCACAAAGUCUCACGGCUUUUUCAAUUUUCACUAAAAUUCUUGCUAAUUAAUUAAAGUUGUAAAAAUAUUUAAUUUGCCAGCUUAAUUAAUAUUUAUACGACCGUUAAAUUACCUGCAGCAUUAUCAUACCACAAAUACACCGUUUCAUAAUUAAAAUUCUUCGAUGUAUGUAAGUAUGUUAAUAAAGUGUUAUAAAAUAUAUAUGUUGAGUGUACAAUAUUAUUUCCUUUUUUGGUCAUAUAUAUUUAUAUAAAUUAGUGGACAUUUUCAUUGUGUUAUUCAACUUCUAAUUCAAGUAUGAAUUAACAAACAACUUACUUUAUACAUAUAUAUUUUCGAUCACACUUAAUUUCUACAUGCAUUCCUAUUAUAGAGAAUUCGAACCUCUGACUUAUCUUUUGUGGCAGGCACAGAAUAAGUUUUUGGAGCAUAAUGGAGUCCGCGUGUACGUGACACGGGAAUGGUUCUUUAAUUUUGACCUAGGAUUUCUUAGAUAAGAAGGAAUUAACAAGUAGAAUAUCACAGACCAAGUAAAUAUUCGUCACGCUACUUAAGAUUUUUUUUUUUUUUUCAUAUAUAGUUUUGUAUAAGAUCGAUCUUUUCAACAACAUAAUUAUUAAGUCAUGCACUAUGAAGCUCCAGGUUUCGACCUAAAUUAGCUAGCGAUCUAAUUUAGAACGAGAUCAGGUGCAUCUCGAAAAAGAUGUGGAUGCUUUAAUUAUAUAUAUGUUAACAUAAAUCACACGAAUAUUGUGUUGAUGGAGAAGAAACUAAAAGAGAUAAUAAAGGAAUAUAAACAAAUUGAUAAAUGAAUGAAUAAUAAAGAAGAGAAGAUCGAGAAUAAAACCUGCAGGUGUAUCGUUUCAUUUUGGAGAAUGCAGAGGGAUACAAAAUUGAUAAUGAUUUUAUUUGGAAAUCUAAUUAUCCAAUAAAAUGGGUUUGGUGAGAUGAUGACAUUCUAAAAUCUUAUCUAUAAUAAUUCCAAAAGAUCAUUUUCACAUUAACUUGAAAAAAAAACCCUAAUUAUUGCCAACACUUGCGUGCAUCGGAACAUCUUGUGCACCACACUACUCUAUCAGCCGUCCUUCCCAUCAGAUAGGUACUUGCGAUCCAACCGUGCAACUUUUUAACAGAUAAUAUAGUGCAAAUAUUGAAUAUAUGAUAAGGAUCGAUACAUGUAAUGGGAUGGAGAGCAGAUGAACCGUGAUGAUGCAUCAGGUGCAGUUUCUACUACUAGCGGGCCAUGGUUGAUUGCCCAAUUGGGUAUAUGUGUAUCAACGUGCGAGCAUCCGUACAAAUUAUACAUCACAUCUUCUUAUCUGUGGAUCAUAUGUCGUGUAUGCUUUGAUCGACAUCAUGAAUUAAGCCAUUAAUUGCAAACUUGUAACUUCGAUCUUGAGGUAGAAACAAGCUAUACUAAAUAGAUGAUAGAAAUUAUACGAAGUGUGAUAUGUAUUGAGUGAGUGAGAGGAUCGUGUGAGCAUUUGGUAAUCAAUAUAUAAUUCAUGAGUCCAACAACUAGAUUUUUAAAUAUUAUUCUUAUAUAUUGUUGAUUUGUUGGCGCGCAUGAAUAUCCUGCAUUGGAUGAUAUGUAAGAAAUUAUAAGAUGGAAUAAAAGGUUGGCGAAUGAAUGUGCGGUGGUGGGUAGUGGCUGCACUUGGCGCGGCAUGAUUUUUACCAAAUAGUAGAGUCGGCACCGGCUUUAACUUCAUUGACGAGAAUACGAAAAAAAAUAGGCCAAAAGAUGGUGUUUUGCGCAGAAUACAGCUUACUGAUCCAAUACGGCAUAAUAUAUUGUUCCAACGCCGACUUUGACUGUAAGAGGAUCUUAACAAGCAAAUGCGGUGUUUCAUUGCCGACUUCAAGCAAUAUAACCAAAACGCAAAAAAUGAAAAGAAGAAAUUCUAAGAAGCAGUUUUUAGAUAAAUUGAAGUCAUUUUUGUAAAACAAUAGUUGUACUCUAAAGCUUGAAUGAUUUUAUUCUUUUUGUAAACAGUAUGAUUUAGACCUGAUCAUACAAGGCCACCAAAAGCUUGGAUGAUUUUAUUCUUUUCAUGGUCCAUAAUAGUGUGUAUAUGUCUUUGGCCAUGAUACUCUUUGUUAGCAAAAGAAAGUAAUCAAUAAAGAAAAAGGUUAAGUUAAUAUAUCUAUCAUUGGACUUGUAAUCCUAAUGCAUCUCCUGCUUUGAUUCCACCUAUAUUUGCAUGACAUAUAUAUAUUUUAACCUAAAAUAUACUGUAAAACAAAUGCUUGAAUAUGUGAACCAAUAGGAUAUGUUGAAGGGGAAAUUAAAAUUAAUUAAACCCAUGCCAAUACCAAGAAGGAGACAUGUUUGUGUGCCCCUCUGAAAUUUCCAGCUCAUGUAAUGAUCAUCUUGGUUGAUGGAUUCAUGUAGUCUCAUGAUGCCACAAUGUUUAGCAACUUGGGCUUCUUUCAUCAUCAUUCAUGGGCACUUAUUAAUGAAUUAUUCAUGAAAUUCGAGCAACCAAGUGAAGCCCAUGAUCAAGAACAAGUGAAUGCAACUUUCAAAAAAUUAAAUAAAAAAAAUAAUUAAAAAAAUAGAAAGUAAAAUGAGGUGCAAUAGAGUUUCAUCAUUUCAACUGAUUUGCACUCAUAUCUUAUGGAUUCUUCACAUGAUUCACAAAUGUUACAUCCAAAUAGUUUGCCGCAGCCCAUGAUAGGUCAUUAGCAUUUGAGCCCCAAAUCAAGUUUGGUACAUCACAUGGACAAAUCAUCUUGUCUUCAAUUAGAAUAUCUUUCUAUCUCAAGAUCAUUUCAGAAUUAAUUCUUAUCAGAUCAAUCUUUUUGAGCAACAUGAUAUUACAGACGGUCGUAACUCCUAAGCCGCUGAAUUUUGACUCUCUCUCUCUCUCUUUCUCAAGACUAUUUUUGAAUUAUUUUCCAUCACAUCAAGCCUUUUAAGUAAUAUGGUAUUACAGACAAUCGUCCUAAGCCUCCUCUGAUAUCCUAUUGUUAAAGACGGGCGUGAACACUGAUUUUAAGAGGUUUUUGAUUACAAUGACCUAGCAAACAAGCAUUGUUUUAGCGCGUGUAUGGUUCCAAAACUUCAAGGAUACGAACGGGUCCUAUAUAUCUAAACCCAAAUACAUGGCCCGCGCACUUAGACAUGAACAUAAUUGAGAUAGGAAUGAGAUGACAUGUAGCAAUGUUCAACAGUAGCUGAAAAAAGGACCUGGAAUAAAUAAUGGAACCAUGCACCAUUGCCCUUAUCAGGGGGACACUAUUCAUCCGGCAAAUCCAAUGGUCGAUAAUAAAUGCCCUAUUAAUUCCACAUUAAAUUACGUAUGCGUAAGAUGUGUCAAGCUCCUUUUUGUUCUGUUUCUAUAUAACCUAACUUUUGGCUAAUUAUAAGUUGUAGGUGGUGUGACUAGCUAGGGCCGUUACAUCUUGCUAUAAUAUUUCUUUCAAUCAAUGCCAUAUAUAUAAUUAAUAUUUAUUUUAAAGGAAUAAAAUAAUAAUUAUCGUAACUUAGAGAACUAAUAACAUGCAAUUUGUCACGUCGAUUUAAGUAAAAUAUUUAUAUAUUUUAGUAGAGAAAUUAACAAUUUGAAAAAAGAUCUAAAACUUCUACAGUAAAGUAAGAACAACUUUUCAGAAAGUUUAAAACCACUACUGUAGAAGAAAACGACCGAAAUUAUUCUAAUAUAGUUUCUCGCAAUAAUUAAUAUUACUUUGACGGCACUUCAUGGAACCACACUGCAUCCUACAUCAACAAUAUUGAUCCAAGUCCAUUAGCUGCAGGUAAUUCGCUUAACUCGACAUUUGGGGUGGCAGUAAAGUUGGUGAGGAGAGAUGAUGGGACCGACUGCGCGUGCCUCUGCAAUGCCAUUGAGAGCUCCCACUAGCUACAGUAACAACAAAGUAGAGAGAGUUUCGUCUCGUUUAUUAUUUUAAAAAAUAAAUUUAUCGAAAAUAUAAAAUAAUUAGAUUUCAAACUUAUGACUUCGAGUAUCAACCAUCAAUUUUUUUAUUAUUUUCAUUAGGAACAACGUCGUUAUAAGUUAUAACUUAGUACUUUUGUCUCUUUAUUUUACCCAUUAAAUUUUAAGUAUAUGUUCAAUAUUAAAUACUAAAAAUAUUGUUUUUUACCAGUUUAAAUUUUUAGAGUAGACGAUUACUUAACGGUGUCUGUUAAUUUGCAAGAUGAAAAGAUCAUUUCAUAUUAAAAGUUUUUUGGUUUUUUUUUAAAAAAAAACAGUGAGAAAUUAUUUGUCAUUGGUUGGGUUUGCUCUUUCUCGACCACAUCAUAUCCUUUUGAAUCAACAAACUAAUUAUGAUGCCAUCUCUGUGAACACAUUAUUGCUAUUACUACCAACAAAUUUGUUGCUAUUGUUUUUGACCAACAACUACACAAUAUAUAAAUAUAAAUAUGUUGAGAACUUAAUUAAUAGCAAAAGAGAAUUGUUGUCCACAGGGGAUGGAUUGUAGUAGCUAGUUCGCAUGUGAUGCAUAUAUAGGUGAAGUAAAAGAUGCAUUUUGGAGCUUUAAUUUGUUCAUAUAUUGUUAUCCUUUCCCAUCAGGUAAAUGAGCCUUAUAUAUCUUUUUUUCAUUUAAUCUUAUAUAUGCAUAGAAUAUAAAAUUUUUUCUACAAAAUAUAACUUCUCUUCUCUGUAUAUAGUUUCCCUUCAAGCUAUUUGAUCUAAUUUAUUUGCAUCCAUUUACACUUUGAACUUUAUAUUUUUUACACUACUUGAUAUGUAUCUAGUAAAAAAAAAAUCUCUUUUUUUUAAAAAAAAAAUCUGUGGGUCCUUUUUAUCCGACAACAUGCUUUAGACCUACCUCAUGCAUGAAUAAAUUAAAAUUUGUCUUCUUUCAAGGAUAUUUCUUUAGACUAUCAACACAAUGUUGUGAUUUAGACUUACAGAUUUGAGAUACGACCUUUUUUGCAGUCAAAAUCUGAUAAAGGAAAAAACCUUAGACUGUACGAAAAAAAAAAAAGAAAAGAAGAAGAAGAGUUAAAAAACAUGUUAUCAAACUAACAUAAAGUUAAUAGUGAAGCGACAGACACAUAUAUAUUUGAAAAUGCAACUUAUACUGCCCAUGUAGAGCAGUAUAUCUCACACAUUUUGAAUCCAAAAAAUGAUAAAAUUCUAUUAAACUUUUAGUUAAAAAUAAUAAUAAUAAUAAUAUAAUGAGAUGAGUCAGUAAAUAUAGAUCACAAAAAGUACCUACAUCAUAAAUAUACAGAUAUAUAGCAUGUAUUGAAUCAAAUCACGAUGAAUUGAUUAAGAAUGACCAAAUUUAUAGUAUAUGAUUUGUACGUAGUAAAUAUAGAUACAAAAAUGCGCAAAGAUAAUGUAACAAAGUUAAUUUUGGUCCUUAAUUCCUUUUCCUUCCCAUUAGUGGAUUAGUGAACAGCAAUCAACCAAUCCUAUACAUGCAGAUUACAUUACAUGACUCUUUGAUGAACCACUCGCAAUCAAGUUUUGCGCUUUUGCAAAAAAAUAAAAAUAAAAAUAAAAAUAAAAAUAAAAAUAAAAAUCCACCAUUUCAUAAAUUUUGUAAUUCCGAUCCACUUUUUCGUAGUCGCCAUUGCUACUUCGAGCAUAAAUCUUUUUUUAUCGACGAAGAAGCAGAAGAAAAAAUUUAAGUGGAUCGAAGCUACAAAAUAGGAAAAAAAAGAGAAAAAAACAAGCGAAUUUGUUCUUUCUUGUCAAAAAUGCCCAACAAUUGAUUAAUUAAGCUUCUCAGAUAUGUACAAAACAAGCUAGCUAGUUAGUUAAUUAAUUAAGCACUUGUUUUAGAAGUAAUCAAUGUAUUGAGGGAUGUGGUAGGGCUCAUCCCUCUCUUUCUUGGUGAGCUUUUGAACUGGAACUGGGGCUUUGCAGUUGCUUCUCCCUGAUCUCCUGAUGAUCAUAUUAUCUGAUCUGGGCACCUCAGGGGGCUUCACUGACCUGAUGAGAGCCCAGUUCACACCCUUAAAGAAACCAUGCCUCUUGAUCUCCACUGACCCCUUCAGGCUCCCAAUCCUCCUCUUUGGGUUCUUCACCAAGAGCCUGCUUAUCAGAUCCUGGGCCCUUGAUUCAUCUUCCAAAUCCUUCGCGUUCGUCGUGUUUAUCUUCGGAAAGCGGAGUGGUUGCUUCAUUAUGUUGAUCAGCGUCUUCUCGUUGUUCUCACCUGUCGAAUAUAAAAUAUUAAAACACUGUUGUCUCUUUUCUUUUCUUUUCUUUUUUAACCUUCAUUAUGUGAUCGUGUUUGUUUUUGUUUUUGAGCUAACAAAACAUUGAUAAAUGUUAAAAUCUUUAAUUAAUUAAACUCCAUGAUAGAAAUAUCAGAACAUUAUUUGUACGUGUUUUAAGUUUUUAGAGAAAAACGGUUACUACCUUUGAAGGGUGUCCUCCCGUAUAUCAUCUCGUAGAGGAAGACGCCGAGCGUCCACCAGUCGACGGCGCUGCCGUGGCCGGAGAUCACCUCCGGCGCCAGGUAUUCGUGGGUGCCGACGAACGACUUGGACCGCGCCGCCACGGGCUCCGCCACGAGCUCCGUCUCCACCACCCCAUCGUCGUCGUCGUCGUCGUCGUCGUCACCGCCACUGCCGUAUGCGUCCCCCGCCCUCGGCGGCGGCGUCCGAAGCGCUUUUUGGGCGCUGCACUUGGAAACGCCGCUGUAGAAGCAGGAGAGCACGGGCUGCAUGGGGGAGCUAACGCAGGAUGGCGCUGCUGCAGUAGUUGUUGUAGCAGUAGUAGCAGUAGUAGUAGUAGUAGUAGAAGCGCUUCUGGGGUCGACGUUCCUUUGCUUGAGGAGCUUUGGGGUGACGUGGCACUUGAGGGAGAGGUCGAAGUCGGAGAGCAUGAUGUGACCGUCGGAUCGGAUCAGGACGUUCUCCGGCUUUAGAUCUCGGUAGACCACGCCCAUCAUGUGCAGGUACUCCAACGCCAACAGCGUCUCCGCCACGUAGAAUCUGCGCUCGGUUAAUUUAUCACCUUCAUGGCGUAGAGACACGCGGCGGCGGCGCAGGGGCGGAGCUGGCACAGGUAGACGCUGCCGAGGUCGCCGGUGCCGAGGCGGCGGAGGAGGCGGAAGUGGUCGAGGCUGAGGGCGCCCGCGGCAGCGCGCGCGCGGCGGAUGGACUCCCACUCGGCCUGGCUCGCCUUGUGCGGCUUGUGCGGCGUGGCGUAGGAGGAGACGGAGGAGGCGGAGGAGGAGAGGGAGAGGUCGGUCGUCGUCGUCGUCGUGGUUGUGCUGUCGACGUAGCUGCGCCGGGAGCUCGAGCCCACUGCAGUGAAGGCGGAGGAGCGGCGGCUGCUGCUGCUCAAGCAGUCGGAGUCGGCGUCGCGGCCUCCGGCGGCCCGCCAUAAAUAAAUAUAGUAGAAAGAGCAGUAGUAGUAGUAGCAGUAGCAGCAGGAGUGAGGGAGUGGAGGUGGGGGCUUUAGUGUGCUUGGUGGGUGCUCUUAAAUAAGAAUAGCCCAGUUCAGAGUAGUGUUACUGUACAGUAUAACAAUACUAUAUACUUAUACUGUUUGAUAAACUAAAUUUUAAGUAAUUGUAUUAGUAAAUGAUUUUAGAAGUGUCGAACUCGAAUAGAAUUUUAUCAGAACUAUAUUCCUGCCGCGAUCAUCAAAUCAUAUGAUGGACGGUAUAUUUGACUAUCUCAGCACUACCGGCAUGAUCUUUAUAAAAAUUUUAUUCAGCAUGUGAGAGUUUUUAUUUUUGAAGCUGCCAAAUAUUUUACUUGACGUAAAAAAAAUAUAAAAAAAAUAUAGGCCUUUAAAACUAUAUAUGAGCUUGUGUGCUCAAUUAUUUAUUUUUUUUGAGAGAAAGGUAGAGCGCUACCUGCUUCAUUCAGAAAAUAAGUAAAUUAAGCUACAUGGGUGAGGCAAUAAGGCCUCGACGAGGGGUGAAAAAAAAAAAAAGGUUCGAUCAUUGAUCAAUCACUCCGCUAGACUAAGUUCCUCUAUAGGUCCGUCAAAUGCUUAAUCUUAUAAAUACCGGCUGUUGGGUCGGUUUGUGCCGUCCUGAAAAUCGCUCUGUUAAUAUACCGGUUGUUGUGGGCUCAAUUGUUUUUUUUGCGAGAAAGUAGCAUGCUACCGCUUCAUUCAUAAAAAAGGUGAAUUUAGCAAUUGUGGGAAGCAACUAGACUUCCACUGAACUGAACCGGAAAAAAAACAAAAGAAAAAAUUAAUUACAGAAGGAUUCCCACAUGCUGUAUUGAGCGCGUACUUCCGCCAGCACCUGCUUCGUCGACCGCUUUCUGUUGUCGAAGAUUCGCCUAUUCCAUUCUAGCCAAAGAGCUCACCAAGUAGCGACCAAGAUUGCUGACUCCUUUCUCCAUAUAGCUCCUGCUUAAAGCUGCAUUCCCUCCAUAAAUCGUCAACUGACCGACAAGCCCCUAGGCCCCGUUUGUUUGGCAGUAGGCAGGUUAGUAGCGCUUGUGAAAUAUAACAGUUUGAGAAAAAAUGGUCCACAGUCUCUUAUUCAUCCAGGCAGAGAACACAAGUGUCCACACCCGACCAGCCCCUUUUCAAAAGAUUGUCCUUCGUUAGUACCUUCCGUCUCACCACGAGCCAGCCGAAAAUUUUAACUUUUAGUGGUAUUUUUGUUCUCCAAAUGGGUGUCAAUUGUUAAUAUAGGUAUUUUUGUUGGUAUUUUUGUUCUCCAAAUAGGUUUGUUAUGGUAAAGGAAUUUUAACUACGAAAUGAUAAUGCAUGCGUACGUUGCUUAUUAACUUUUUGUUUUUUUUUUCCUUUUUUUUAUUAAAAAAAAUGACAGGUAGAAGGUCAUGUUUUUCACCUUUAGCUUCACAAUCUACUUUUUCCAUUGUGAGAUCAUCAUUAUUACGUGAGGGCUUUUGAACAUCCAAUAAAGAGAGAAUGAACAAAAUCACAUAACCCCCAACUAAAGCCCCCUCUCUCAUGUUCAAAGAGUUUUCUUCUUUUUUUUUUUUUGAUUCAACAUUUUUCGAAUGUUUAAUUAUCUAAAAGAAAUAAUUAACAAAGCUAAGUCAAAAUUAGCAUCCACUCAUGAACAACAUCUAAAUUUUGGCAUUGAACAUUGUGUUCGAUAUACAUCUAACUUAUGAAACAUUCACAGCAUGCUGAAAAUUUCUAUGACGCAUAAAUUAUCCGUCACAAACGCGAUUGGAAAACACAAAUCUGUUUAACCCAAGUUAAAUCAUACGAAGACGGGGGUAAUUUGAUUAUCGAACACGCAUACGAAUACGACCCACCAACCCAAAUCGCCACCCCUAAUUGCAAGUGUGGAUAACAAUAUUGUAGGUAGGUAAACUAAACUAACUAGAUAUAUAUAGAGGUGCUAAACUUAAUUAGUUGGUCACAUGAGUUAACAAAAGACAACAUGUUGGUGUGUGACAGUGUUAAAGGCCUUAUAAGGAGGGGGUGGGGGAGGAGAGAGAUGCAUGAGCAUGCACUACCCGUGCCACAUUAAUUAAAAGCAAAAUCCCCACCUCACCCCCACACACCAAAUGAGAUGCUUCUCUUUUUCUCUUUUCCCUCUCUCCUCCCCUCUCAUUUUCUUUGAGGUGCUUUUUACUGGGUCACAGUGGGGGACAUGUGAACCCACCUAUCUGCCACGUGGCAUCACCUCUCUUACUGGUGCUCGAAAAAGAUUUUGAAUUACGUUAGAAUAAAAAAUGGAACGACGAGUUAUUCACAAAUACUUGAAUUUAUUAUUAUGAAAUAAAAUGAAAAUCGAAAUGAAUAUUUAGAAUUUUAAUAGGGAGUUUUAGUUUUAGUUUUUUUUUUGAGAGAGAUAGAUAACACGCUACCUUCUUCGUUUAUUUCAUUUAGAAAUAAACUUAUAUUAGCUGGAAAAUAUGAAUCAAUUAGGGUCUCGAAUACCAACCAUCGAAUCAUUUGCCGGCCACUUGCUCUGAGAAUGGUUGGUAAUAAAGAGUUUUAGUUAAAAAAAAAGGAGAGUGAUGAAGGAAGAUGAGGAAAAAGUAUUUGUAACAGAGGGUUUUGAGGGGUUUAACUAGAAACAGGCUAAUCCGGGAGUCAAAAUCGGAUUGAGCCAUAAAUGUAUUAGAUCAUUCCCAUUUCAAAAUGAAAUGAGAAUGAAAAUUCGAUUUUGUAAAACGAAUAAUAAUUAUUGGAAUCAAUAAAAUUCUAUUCUAAUUUUAUGGUCUAAAAUUGAUGAACCAAAUAUGUCUUAAAUUUGUUCUUACUUUUAGCUACAAUCAUAAAUUUUUUUCUGAAAAAAAAACGUUCAAAUUAACUUACAAAACAUAGGUUCUCUAAUAUAAAACUAAAGCUUACAUAAUAAAGAAAAGUGUGAAAUUUUAACAUAAAAAUUGUUAGCAUGUUUUUCUAAUAAGACAUUUCGUGAACUCAGGAGAAAAUUGAGGGUUUGGAUGUAAUUGUAUUACAAAAGCAUCACUGACCCAUGUAGCACUUAAUAUGUAUAGUUUUAAAUUAACGGUCAAACAUUUGUACACAAGCAAAUAUUACGCUUCUACUUCUGAUAAAAAGGUCAAUUAAGUUGCUAAGCAAUAAAGCAAUAAAGCAAAAGCAACAAAUUAUUGAGAGAACUUUAGCGUCAAUAUGGGAUCUAACCAGAGUCGUAAUCUGUUAGUGGAUGAUAUGGCGGAAAAAAAUAUUAUUAUUUUAGGAGCCAAUCAUUUGACCUUUUUUUAACUAUUAGACGAAUACGGAACAUGAGUAGAGAAUGAACUUAGUUUUGCAGCUUUUAAUGCCUUGGUUUUGAGUAAGAAGUACAAGUAUCAAUUUUCUGUAAUUUUUUAUUUUAGUUUUUAUUUGUUUUUUUUGUUUUGGAUGCCUUCAAUAUUUUCCGAGACUGCAUUGCCUCAACCUCUAUAACUGAAUUCAUCCGCUAAAAUGAAUAAAACUAGUAGCGUGCUAUCUUUCUCUCUCUCAAAAAGAAAAAAAAACUUUAGCAUCAACAUAUACUACCAGCGCUUUGUCAAAUAGUUCAUUUUGCUUACGGCAACACUUUUGUAGAAGCUCCAGCCGACUCAAACAGACGGUCACGGUUCCAGAGAUGGGCCAUGAAAUAAAGCUAGUCAUACUCCCUUUCAACUACAGAAACCAUUGGUAAACAAUGUAAUGAUCUCUGCAUCUUCCUUUUCUCAUACUUUUAUGUUGGUGGAUGCUGUGAAACUCAGAAUCUGUAAUAAGGGAUCGUACAUGAUACAUGGCUCUUAAUUAAUUUCCUCUGGACCCCCUCUUCUUCUUCAGGUAUUAUUUUUUAGUCCCUGCUCUCUCUCUCUCUCUCUCUCUCUCUAGCAUCUGAGGGAUCUUAUCAUCAGCCUUUUGGGUUACAAAACAAGCAGGGCUGCAGGGCUGCAGGGCUGCAGUGGGUGAGAGAAGCAAAGCAUGUUGGGAAACCCAAACACCCAUGCCUUCAUGCAGGCUCUGCUCCCACAACAACAACCAUAAAAAGACAAAAAAAGUUUUUUGUAAUUUAGCUCUUUUUUUUGUGAGUUUUGUGGGUUUUUUAAGGAAAAAAAAAAAAAAAAAAAAAAAAAGGAAAAUGUAAAAUGAAAAUUUUCCUGUGACCACAAUAAGAAUAUAGUUGGUUUUAAUUUGUCUGUGAUAUGAAUUAUUUGUGUUGUUACUGGGUAGGCAUGCAAAAUCACCCUUUCAGUUUUACCACAAUUAAUAUGCAAUUUUAGUUUCUGUGAAAAUUUGCACUGAAGAAGUGAUACGCGUACUUAAGUUUUUGUAGAAAAAUAGCUGUUUUAUAUGAUUUCAGAUCCUACGGUGGCUACGUGCAUAGAAAGUACUAAGUAUAGAAAAUUAUACUGUAAUUCUCUAAUAACUUAAACUUUUGAAACCAUUUGGCUCUUUCAAAGAUGAGUGGAAAGAUGAAAUGAGUGUGGAUGUUUAAGUAAAAGCAACUCAAAAAUCCUAACUUUCUCACUAUCCUUGCCUUUACGGCGUUUAGCUGUAACUACAUAUAAAACUUUCAAAUUAGAACUUCUGUUUUUCAUAAAUAAUACACGGAUAUUCUAGUUUAACUUGCGUCUUUUUAUUUGCUAAACAUCUGUUACCGUUGCUUCUCGAGUAGAAAAGCUAAUCCGAAAAUCCGACAAAUAAAACAAGCAUGGAUUAAAAUAAUUGUCAAUUUUAAUGUCAUAACAGUAGCCCCACAUGUCGACAGUUCUACAAUCUUUGGAAGGACCACGAAAUAGGCCAAGAAUAAUAGAAGAAUGUUCACUGCAACAUAAUUUUGUAUAUAGAUACACACACACACCACACACACACACACACACACACACACUCAAUCCAAUAAAUAUUUUUUAAAAGAAUCCAGUACAAAAAGUUCUUGUGGUUGGCUGAAAAAGUUCAAUUCAUACAAUCAUGUCAACAUUCAGAUAAAACAAGAUAAUAAAGGAGAAUGGCUUAUUUGUACCAAUGUUUUAUUGAAUAAAAAUAAAGUAAAAUAAAAAUAUCUCAUUUUAAAAUCCUAUGGUUAUGGAGCAUGAAUAACUCUCUUAGAUGAAUGGAAAUGUAGUAAAAUUACUGACAGAUUCAGUGUGCAAAGAGAGCAGUUAUAAAACACAUAUAUGUGGGCUUAAUAUAGUACAUUUGUCACUUCACGAGAUAAAUUAUUAAGCCACAACUCAUUUAUUAAGAUACAAAACCACUUACCGCAAAGCUCCGACGCAUAAUUCUUCAAAGGAAACACGGAUUAUAUAUGAAUACAACAAACCCGAGACACUGAGCUGCUAAAUUUUCAGAAAUGAGAGUAUCGAUCGAAAAGGCGACAGCACCAGAAGAACCGAUCCAACUAUUGUAUACCCACACCAACAUCUACUAUUUAACCACAUAUUAAGCAAUUCAUUGCACCUAGCUAGGGUGAUUAUUCGAUCGCCAUUUCAUGGUGAAGCCCAAAAUUUUUAGUCGAUUGCUGAUCACGAGUUGGAUCCGUCAGUUCCCAGCAUUGCAGUAAGCCAUUUGCAGAGUUGCUCCAACUCCUGAGGGAUUGUGUGGUGUCCGAUCCUGCACGGGUUUAUUACAUAGGGGUUGAUAAUUACUUCCACGACCGGAAAAGAAACGAAGAGAAAACGUAGUUUAGCGAGGAGUUACUGUUACCAAUUAUACGAUUUGAAUGUCAGAUUUGAAAACCCAACUGAUCUCAAAAUUUCAGCAGAUCUCUCCCCAUGCUUGUAGAGCACAACAUCAUCAGCUGUAUUUAGAUAAUCAAAUAUUAUGCUAUUUGAACUUAAGAUGCUUUUCAGAAAAGUAGAGAUGUCGGUAUAAAAUCCUACUCCGGUUGCACGUCUAAUAAUAGGAGAUAUACCUCUUCCAUGGCAAAGCAAAAGCGGCACGGAGGAAGCCCGUCUCAUAGCCUCUUGAGAGCUUUCCAGCUUACUCUUCAGCAUCCUAAAACCAACGAAUUUUUCAUUACGACGCACCAAAAAUAGAGAUGUUGCAUCGAAGAGAAGAAUUUGUGCUUAGCCAUGGUAGGAUGGUACCUGGCGCAUGGAAGCCAACCGCUUAGAGCGACAACCGCACUUAGGUUAACAGGGUAUAGAUUGCCAUUUCCAUAUUUUCCGAGUGCGAAACACGUUGCAGAGUAAAGUGCAAUAGCACCGCCCAUACUGAAGCCGCCAACACCGAGUUUGACUGAAAUUUUAAUCAAAAGAAACUAUAAUUUGUUAACACGAUACCUGCAGAGAAUUUAGGGCAUUCAAAUUCCACAAAUUCAUGCAGAAAAUACCUAAUAUAUUGGAUUUCUUUUAACAAAACGGAAUGAUCAAUAUAGAGAAACUAAGUUGAUCAUGGGCCAAGAGAAGUGCUUAGCAACAUAUACAAUCAUCAGAUAAGAAAGUGAAAAAAACUCUAUUUAAAACUCGUGAUAUUUUGUGGGUCUUCGAGAAGAGAUGCAAACCUCCUAGAGAGAUCGAAUUUGGGACCAAAAGUAGUAGUAUGAACAGAUUAUGUAACUCAUAAGCCAUAAGUAAAAGUACACGAGCAAGUAGUUCUUUUUAUCUUUGUGGAAACAUACUAUCAGCAGGCUCAGUUGAUAAGAGGUUAGCAACAUGCGCAGCUGAAGCAUCCAUUCCCUCAACAUCAUUAAUGCCAUCCUCUGAAAGAUCUCCAACAUCAAACCCUAGAACACAAGGGGAAAGAAGUAGAGAAAGGGAAUUUUAAAUAUCAUUGAAACAAAGCACCGGCGUUGCAGGAUACUAUCUACAGCUUCACAUAAAGCAUUCAACUUUGGAAGUGGAUCAUCCAGCAAACUAUGAUCUAAAUGAAAGAGGUUCAUGUAAUGGUAGUGCAGCGAACUUACAUGCAUUGGUGGGGAAUCCGCCGAACACUGAUACAGGCUGUGUAGGGGAAGUUGGGCAUAUCCAUUUAAUCUGCAUAAGCAAAAUUAAGCUACAAAGGUCACACAAGAAAACAAAGGAAAAAAAAAAAAGAAGGAAAACUAGCUGAAGUUAUAGUAACAUACGUUUCUCAGAGGACCAAAAAAAAAGAAAAAAGAAAAAAAAAAAACUAGCAAAUAAUGAUCAGUAGAGUAAGCAAAUGAACAAAUCUCACUAUUAAGUUGCAAGAGUUUCAAUCUUACAUUGGGAAGAGGAAGAGUUUCCAACAGUUGAGACCAGCUGCAGAUAUAAAGCAGUGUCGACCAGGCGAAAAACAUAUCAGGUAGUAUUUUGCUAUUAACAACAUUCAAGAUUAAAGAUGAAGAAAAAGACAGCACCGAACAAUCUACAGAAAGAAAUGUAUAGCUAAAUAAUAAAUAAGACUCUGUAUCUCAUUGGAGAGUCCAAUGAAUUUUCUAUAGGUAUUUGUAUAACAUAACAGGAAAUAGUCAUCGUCAUGAAAUCUUAGCCUGACAAAGGAAAUGGUAAAGCUUAGAAUUCCUGAAAGUGAAGGAAUUAUAGUUUAUAAAAGCAGUAUUACAUUGAUUGUGUUACAAAGGAAAAUUGUCCGACGCAUAUACAACAUGGAACUUUAGAAAUCACUAUGGCUAGAGCAAGAUGAAGAAUCGAAGCCAAAUUAACUGGCAAAGACUUGAUGUACAGCAUGCUGGUAGUUCAAAUAUCCAUACCGCUAUAACAAAUCUUAGGACUUGUUUAGGCCUGCUGAACCUUCUGAAAGUUGAGAUGUUCAAAUAGUUCUAUACCGGCCUUUCAGAAAGCGCUUGGUGUUUGAGAUGUUUAAGUAGUUCAGAAAACUGGAUUGUAGAUGCAACUCCUUUUUUUUUCCAGAUUUUACGUGGCAUAAUCACGUUUCAGUUGUUACAACAUUCAACUGUACUUUUGGCGAGAAUAAUAGAAUAGAAAUCAUUGCUCACAAAUACAAGAAUAACAAUACAAAGGUAAAAAAGACCGAUCCAAUCAAAAAGAAAGCUAGAAAGUUGUAUUGGGCGUUCACUCAAACAACCCAUAUCCACUGAAAAAUAGCUAACGUGAAAAAAAAAUCAGCAUUCAAAUUGUGAAUUUUUUCAGGAAAAAAAGGGACUUACACAACUAAGUUACCCGAAACAUGAAAAUUUAUGUCUCAUCAAAGUACAGAGCAUAGGAUUCAUAUCGAUCCACAGGACAACUUCAUUACAAAAGUAUGUGGCUCUAACAAGAAGCAAAAUAAAUGAUUCAGCAUCUAUCAAGCCCUCAAAAAGGCAUAAAAGUCACUGUCAUCAUCCAAUCAGGAGAGAGAGAAAGAGAGAUACCUUGCUCCAUUAUCACCUAGUCCAUGAAGCCACACUAUUGUGGCUAGAUGCCUCCCUUUUGGCCUCACUACAUGGGUCCUCCCAUAUUCAAAAGACCUUGUAGAACCCCUACCACCUAUAAUUAUUCAUGUAAGCAAAAACACUAGAUCACUAAAAAAAAAAAAACAUAUCAAAGAGGACUACUACAAAUAAAAUGGCAAAAAUAAACAAAUAAAAUGGCAAAAAUAAACGGAACAAAGAAACAAUAAUCAAACCAGAAGCAACUGAGCUGCUCCCAUAGUUCAUCUCAACUUCACCAAAAAGCAACCCUUGCAAUGACUAGGACCAGGUUUCGCUGCAAUAAAGAAGCGCCCAUUUGACCUCUCUACUUAUACCGAUAUACAGAGUAUAGAAUAAGAAUAAGAAUAAGAACCCAUUAAACAUAGCAAGACUAACAAAACCCAGAAAGGAAAAGAGAUAGAGACAGAGAAAAAAAAUGAAGCUUUUGUAUUUGAGGUAACAGAAUCUAUGAGAAGGUCAUAGACCAACAUGCAUCACCAAAUGAGCCUAUACAAACACAAAUAAGGAAAGGAAAAGAAAUGAAAAGGAAAAUAAAGGGAUUGGGUUUGCUUGUUACAGGAAUCAAUGCUUCAACAUUAACUUUUUUUUUGUUUUUUUGCUUGGUUUUUAAGAACCCAAAACAAGGUUUGAACUUUGAAGCAGAAAUGGUAAAAGGAAGGUAUAAUCAACAACAAGUUGCGAACUUUAUGCAAGUAAUCAUUAAACAGGAAUAAAAUGCUUCCACAUCAACUUAUUUGAAUGGCUUCUUAUAACCCAAAACAAGGAUUAAACUUUGCAGCAGAAAUAAUAGCAACAUAUACAAUAAACUGGUAAAAAGAAGGUAUAAUCAACAACAAGUUGCAAGCUUUAUGCAAUUAAUCAUUAAACAGGAGUAAAAUGCUUCUACAUCAACUUAUUUGGAUGGCUUUUUAGAACCCAGAACAAGGUUUGAACUUUGAAGCAGUAACAGUAUAGCAGCACAAAACAUAAAUAGGUAAAAAGAAGGAAUAAUUAACAUCAAGGUGCAAACUUUGUGCAAUAAAUAAUUAAAAAGGAGGGGGAUUUGAAGUGGGUUUUGAGGGUACGAACCUACGAUUGACAGAAAAAGUAAAUGCUCUUUUCUCUCCCCCUGAAUAAGUGUAUUGGUCGGUGCUUGAGAAGUGCGAAUUGUUUCCCUUUUUUUUUCUUUUAAGCACAACACGAGGGUGAAAGAUGUUAAUUUGUAGACCCCUCAACCAAACUCUAAUUUUUAAAUACGCCCCUGAACUUUUUCCUUUUUUCUUUGAAAUCCUCAAUUUUUAGGUACUUUGAUUUAAAUUACUUUUAUCAAAGCAAUAUAUACAUAUGUUUGGAGGGAUGUAAGUGAUAGAUUUGUAUGUAUGGAAAGGUGCGAAUGAUAAUUUUGAUUUUGAAGGAGCAUCUGUAAUAUUUUCAAGUUUUAAAGAGUUAUAUUUAAAAUUGUCCCGAAUUUUAUAUCAAUUGACUAUAAUAUUUUCAAUACAUAUGGAGGCUUCUCAACUACAUGUUAUGCUGAUUGAGACUUUUCUCAACUUCUAACUUUUGAAAAUUUGAGUUGUUAUUCUAACCAUUAGGCAUCAAUUAUUUCAAUUUUGUCUCUGUGUAAAAUUAAUAAGUUUGAUAAAACUUUUUGUUUAUUUAGUUUAGAAAAAUGUAAAGAAAUACAGAAUUUAUCUGACCUAUGAAUCAUUUGAUAUUUUGACUUUCAAUUUUUAAUAAAUCAUUUAUCUCCACAGUUUGAAGUUAAAGUACUAUCGACUGACUCACAGAUCGAACAACUGAAAAAAUUGAAUAAUAAGAUCAAAAUUUUGAAAGAUUGAAUAAACGAUUCAUAAUAAUUUAUAGUAAAAACAAGUUAUGUAUAAUGUACCAAAGAGAAAUAAUUUUUUUUUGAGAGAUAAGUAGCACGCUACCCGCCUCGAUUAUUUCAUUUAGAAAUAAACUUAGCUGUAAAUGUGAAUCAACUAGGAUUCGAACUUGGACAAAGAGAAAUAAAGUUGAGGGGGACAUUUCAAUACAUUUCCACAAAAAUAUAUCAAUAAUGAAAAUGGAGAAGGAGAGGAGCCUCUAUGAUCAUCAUCAUGAGGGUGUGGAAACUUGGGAGGUGGAGACAUGGAAAGGUGGAAGAUGAUCACGUGAGACCCACGUGGAUCCUAGGCAGGGUAGCAGAUCCUAGUGGAGCAAAUUAAGGCCCACACUGCUCUCUUACAGGAGCCAAUAUUAUUCCCUGGGUCAUAUGUGACAACACACCUCGUAACUUGCCGGGUCAUAUGUGACAACACACCUCGUAACGCAAAUUGCGAAUUAAACUUACGUAGUAGUUUCAAAUUUUACUUUCGUUCUCAAAAUUUUAAGUUGAGCUUGGAUUCCGAUCUUUUCACUUUCGAAGAGUAAUUUGCGGUAUCAUCUGGUGCGUUCGUAUAUCUGUAAACUAUUUAUACUUGUUGAAUUCCUAUCUGUAUCCAUAUAUCCGACGCAUAACAUAAUAGCUAUGAUACCGACUGUUUCUAUAACAAGUGGCAAAGAACCUGAUAGUUGGUAUCCGAGACCCAAGUUCGCAGUAUUACCCUGAAAUCGGUGCCACCAUAUGUUUUGUGUCUAAAAGCUCUAGUUCGAGUCAGAUGCGAGGCCAUGCUAAACUCCGGUUGCAUGUCGAACCACCAUGAAAAUGCACGUCAAGUUACGGUGAAUUCAAUUGUGCGCUGCAAAACCAUGUUGUACCAGCUGUUUAAAGUAAUUUACUGAGCAACCGUGUAGAAAAACGUACCGAACUUACAUGAAAUAUAAAUUAUUUUGAGUUGGCAACUCAAUCUUUCAAAAUUUUAAUUAUACUAUUUAGCCCUUUAAUACUUUAAUUUCGAAAUUUAAAUGUGUCGCUUAUUUUCAUAAGCUUUAUUAAUAUAGUUCAAAUAAUUUUCAUAAUUAUAAAUUUAUUUAAAUAAAAAAUUAGUUUAAAUUUUAAAAUUAAAGUGUUGUUAACUAACUCAUAUCAAACAAACUAAAAUAUUAGAUAGUAAAAAUUAAAAGUUUGAAAGAUUAACUCGUCGAUUCAAAAUGAUUUACAAUCCAGAAAAGUUAAAAAAAAAAGGGGAAAUGAUCCCUACCUCACCGGCUCACCCACUGUCGAUCUGAGCAAAACCCGAGCUGAGUGUGGGUUCAAACUUAAAAGCGAGCCUAACUUUAGGCCCGGGACAUAUUGUUUUCUUUUCCCAUCUUGGACCCAGCCCAAAUCUACAAUAAAGAAUACAAUUAAAGCCCAACUCGGUCCAAAAUAAACCAAUUAGGUCGGGACCAAUAUAAUAAUUAAAUCUAAACAUGGACCAAAUUUAUAUACAAGGCAUCACGAAUCUCAAAGACAAUGCUAUUCCCGCCGCAGAUCUACAACUCAUGCCCUAGAUUGGAAACCCCCAAAACCCAACGUCUCUCCUUCAACCCCGUUCCCGCCCCCUUUCUCCUUCCUCCUCCCUCGGACACCACCAUUAAUGGCGACUCAGGAGAACGGGAGCGGCGCCGAUGCUCCUCCGAGCAGGUCUUCCUCCUCCUCCGCCGCCGCCGCCGCCGCCGCCGGCGUCGACAAGGGCGUCGACUUCGCCAACUACUUCUGCACCUACGCCUACCUCUACCACCAGAAGGAGAUGCUCUGCGACCGCGUCCGCAUGGACGCCUACUACAACGCCGUGUUCCGCAACAAGCACCACUUCCGCAACAAGGUACCUAGGGCAAUCCGACGGUUUAAUUUGGUGGGAUUGGUGCGAAAGGUCGUGCUGGAUGUGGGCACGGGGAGUGGCAUUCUCGCAAUUUGGAGCGCGCAAGCCGGGGCGAGGAAGGUGUACGCGGUGGAGGCCACGAAGAUGGCCGAGCACGCGCGGGAGCUCGCGAAGGCGAACGGCGUGGACGAUGUCGUCGAGGUGAUCGAGGGGUCGAUGGAGGAGGUCACUUUGCCGGAGAAAGGCUAGUGCAGUGAUAUGUAAAUAUGUGUCAAAUUCAUCUCCCUUUUUGCUUUAUUUACUCGAAGUAUGGUAUUUUGAUUUGUGGCCGUGGGGAUUGAUUGCAUUGCAGUUGAUGUUAUAAUAUCGGAGUGGAUGGGUUAUUUUCUCUUGAGGGAGUCGAUGUUUGAUUCGGUGAUAUGUGCUCGCGACCGAUGGCUGAGACCGGAUGGAGCAAUGUAUGUGUGUGAUAAUUUUCUUUCCUUUUCUUUCGAUUUACUGCUUUUAAGUUUGAUUCUUUGCUUGUUCACUGUGAGACAUUGUUGGAACACUCUUCAAAGGUAAAUUACAAGAAAAAAAAGCAGAAGAUGAUAAUAGCAUCAUCUACAGGUAAAUAAGGUCAUCUUUACAGGAAAAUGUUAUUACAAAAUACAAAUGCGUAGUAACUGUCAUUAUUCAGGGUACUAUCGAUAUUGGACAGAAAUAUAUUGCAAUGAACAUUCUAGUUUUACAUUCUGUGGCGCUGGGAGUUAAUCUAUGACAGUAUGUUCUUAAUUUAGUUCUAAAAAUUUUAGUUCACGCCAUACUUUUUCCUGUUUUACCUUUAUUGGAAAUUACUUCUAGUGGAGGUGCAACUCAUCAUCUGACCUAGUUUUGUUAAUGCAGGUAUCCUAGUCAUGCUCGGAUGUGGGUCGCACCUAUAAGAUCUGGUCUGGGCGAUCAGAAAAUCGAUGAUUUUGAACGUGAGAUGAAUGAGUGGCAUAACUUUGUUGACGAGACCGAAGCUCAUUAUGGUGUCAAUAUGAAUGCUCUGACAAAGGCCUACCGUGCAGAACAUGAAAAAUACUAUUUGAAGGUAAAUAUUAGACCUCUUUCUACAAUAUGUAAAAACGUAUAUUUCCCUGUUGCUUUAUAUUGCUUUAUGCUUUACACUGAACAAUAACAGCCAAUUGGGAAUUCAUGUGGAAAACAUGCGUAUGAGCAUGUGCUUUUAUAUAAAAAAAAUACUUCUAUACAUUUAUGUUCUGUUGAUUUUGACUGCCAGAAGCUGUAAUCAUCAAUAUAGUCCGAUUUUGUUUUCGCUUGUUACUAAUCCUCUGUAAUUGUUCUGUACUUCCUAGACAUCAAUGUGGAGUAACGUUCAUCCAAAUCAGAUUGUAGGAACUGCUGCUGUUAUUAAAGAAAUCGAUUGUUUAACAGCUACAGUAGAUGAAAUCCGCAGUGUUAUGGCACAGGUCACCAUGCCUAUUAUUAUGGACAGGGCAAGAGUGUCCGCAUUCGCUGGGUGGUUUGAUGUUCAUUUCCGAGUAAGUUUUACCAGUUAUAUUUACAGAAAUUUCUUCUGACAUGCAUGGAAAAACAUCUAUUCAAACAUAUGCUCCUGUAACAUGUGACUUCUCGUAUAUGCCCUUGGAUCUACCCCUAUCUUAAGUUGGAAAGACAUCACAUUUAUGCAAGGGAAGUUGGUUUGGAUUGUUUUUUAUUUUAAAGAGGGGGUUGGGGUGGUGUGUUUUUGUUGUUUGGGAGAUGUCAAUUCUUUUUCUCUGGGUGUAUAUGAAACUUCAGCUUUUGCAGAGAUAUGUAUCGUUCUUAUGUAUUGACAUCUUUCUUGUAGGGUAGCACGCAGAACCCAGCGAUGCAUGAAAUUGAGUUGACUACUGCUCCGAGUGAGGAUUUCGGGACUCAUUGGGGUCAGCAGGUGAGAUUUCCAGGCAUAUAAACUAUAACAUCAUUUUUCCAUUACAUGGGAUUUUGUUGGAGUUUCGGGCCUGUUUGGCUUCGCAAAAGAUUUCUUGGAAGUACUGUUUCAGUAGACUUGUUCGAAAAAAAUGUUACUAGCUUUUCUUCGGCUGUAAUCCCUACAAACAGCUUCUAACUGCAGCAGAAGUGGAAGCUGGGCUUUUUUUUUUUCUCCUUUGGGUUUUUAUAUUUGGUCAGUAACUGCCUAUUCUUUUUAUAUCAAAUUGAAGCUCCUAAAUAAAAGAAUAAGAACGUUCUUGCUUUAGAUUACCAAUAAUUGUACAAGAAAUACCUGUGUUUGCCUGCAUAUUCUAGAAGAGUUGACAUUUUACCCUUUUUUUUGGUUAAAUUUUGAGCAGGUAUUUUUGCUGCAUCCUCCUAUUAGAGCUAAUGAAGGGGAUAAAAUUAUCAUGUCCUUCACAAUGAGCCGAUCCAAGGAAAAUCAUCGGUUGAUGAAUGUCGAAUUCACCUGUGAAUUGGAGCAGUCAUCUGGCAAGCGGCUCUCGCCUGUCACUUCCAAGGUUUUCAUUGAGUAGAAAGAAGCUAAAUUCAUCAGAGCAAGAAUGGUAUGCUUAAGCAAUCUUUCAUACUAUUUCGCGAUCACAAUUCACUAAUAUUAUGUGUAAACAUGGCCACAAAGCUGCAGAUUUAAAAUUCAAUUGCUAAUUUUUGAUCUCUGAUUGAUGCCUACCUUCUAGUGUUAUCUGUUUGCUCUCUCUCUCUCUCUCUCUCUCUCUCUCUCUCACGCACACGCACACGCACACGCACACGCACGCGCACGCAUGCCCGCACUCACACGUGCACGGGAACAUGCACGCACGAGAAAUAUAGGUUCCUCAAAUGUCGAUAUUGUUAUCACAUGCUUUUGAUCAUUUACUGAGUUGCUAAUAAUGCUGAUAGUUUUUUCAAUUCUGAACUUCCAAUUGUUUUUUUAACUGCUGCUUAAUUACAUUUGUUGCUUGGCGGCAGGCUCAGGAACUCUCAAGUCUCAACUCCCAAGUGAUUUGGUCGGUUUGUGUACUAUUCUCUUCUAUUAGAAAACAAUUUGUUCUCGGAAUGUCGGCAACGUCGAUCCCGUGCAGACAAUGGUGAAGUGGUAUGAGUUUUCUUCAUUGGACGCGAUUCCGAUCUACGUCACAGGACGUGUUUUUAUGGAGCUUUUGAGGCUUAAAAGCUUUUGUAGUGGUCGGAGUUUCUAUGACCUGUGUAUUCACUUGUUUCUUUUGUCGAGUGUUUUAUUCAAAGCAAUUCAUGGUUGAAAAAGUAAAAGACUUUCAGGUAAGUCUUAUAAAACUGUUUUUGACAGAAGCCUGCUACUUUUUUCAGUUAGAAUCCAUUCGACAGUUAUAUUUCUGUAGAAAUAAUUUCACAUUCAUCUAAUCUUAUUUAAGCUUCCUGCUGCAGCUUUUGCGAAUACAAAUUUUUUGCUUAAUUUACUGUAUAGAAUUAGGUACUAUAUUAUUAAUAGUGUUUUUGUGUUAUUAGGUUUUUGGCUCCUAGAAGAAAGAAUAUACGUUUAGAAUGAUAGUGGUCUUUUAGAGUUUAGUGGGUAAUUGGUUGAAUAAUAUGAUCUAAUAAAAAUUUGAUAGUAUCGAGCGCUUGGUACUAUUCAGAAUAGUAUAGUAGUCUGAUUUUACUAUAUAUAUAUAUAUAUAUAUAUAUAUAGAGAGUGAGGCUACUAUGCUAUCGGAAGCACGGAGUCUUCCGUACUUCCAGCUCGUUUUCGAUGUUGCGACUUUCGAAUCGUCGAUCGGCUCUGUUAAACUUGAUCUAGAGUAUUUGGAGUACAUAGAAAAUAAAUUUUAUUAUUUUUCGAUACCAUUUGCCUAGUGAUCGAAUAGGCUCAAAAUCAGCAAAUUUCAAUGGCCGUCGUUUGCAAGUUUAACGGUGUAGAAAUAUCCAAAUCGCGUGAAAUUUUGAUAGAAAAUUCUUUAUACUAUAUAAAAUAAGAUCAAUAUUUUUGAUUUAAAAUUUUAAUAUCAUAUUAUUAUAUUUUGUAAGAUUUUUAUUUUCAGCCGUUGAUUUUGAGCCCCUUCGUUCACUAGGCAAAUGAUAUCGUAAAAUCAUAAAAUUUAUUUUCUANNNNNNNNNNNNNNNNNUAUAUAUAUAUAUAUAUAUAUAUAUAUAUAUAUUUAACUGGCUGAAAUAUCAAAGAAGAGAGUUGUGAAUUAAAAAAAAAGAAAGUUUAGGGACUUAAUUCGUAAAUGGAGGCGGCCUUGGUGUAUUUGACCCUUUCUCACGAGACCAGCACGUACCGAACUUAUCUCCUCGAUACCAAACUUUGAUUUGUAAUAUUACACCUCAACCUUUGGUUGUCUCAAAAUGAACCCCCGAUUUUGCCUUUUUAAUUGACAUGAUUUUGAGCCUAAAUUUCUUUAAUUAGAGUUAUUUGUAUUAGCUUCUGAAAAAACAGAGAAAAAACAGUUCUUAAAAUUAAUUGCUAUAACUCCAUGGAGAUGAUGGACGCUUUAAAAUAAUGGAAAUUACUGUUAAAGUUGUUAAAUUUAACUGUUCAAAAUUUCUCAAAUCAAAGCAAAAAUAAAUAAAUAAAAAUCUAAAGCUUCGGUUGGCAUCGUAGUUAUUUCCUAUAAUUUUACACGCUAAAAAAUUCUAUAAAAUUGCAAGUAAAUUAGUAUUCCCUCCCACACUAUUUGAUGUAAAACUUUUAUUAUCUUAUAAAAGAGUAGUUCGGGGGGGUCUUGUUCCAAAUAGCCAAUAGCGGAGGGGCCACAGUGCACUUUUCCCGCUCUCCCCGAGUCCCAUCGGUACCAAACAAUCUCGCGGGAGGAGCGAAACCAUUCACGAAAUCUCCUCGACACCAUUACCAACCAACCAACCACUCUUCGUAUCCUCUCUCUUUCUCUCUCUCUCUCUCUCUCUCUCUCUCUCUCUCUCUCCUUCGCCUCCGACGAUGCACCGCUCCUCGAGCGCCGCGCGCACGUCCGACGAGUACUCCUCCCCCGCCGCCGCCGCCGCGGCGGCGGCGGCGAAGGGCGGCGGAGGCGGCGGGUCCUUCGCGGUGUCAGAUCAACUCCCCACCUACGAUCCCCGAUCCCACGCGGGGAGGAAGGAGGCGGCGCGCGCGAGGUUCGCCGAGGACGCCGUCCACGCCAUCCCCGUCGUCCUCGUCCUCUGCGCCUUCCUCCUCUGGCUCUCCUCCGACCCCGGUACGAUCACCCCCCCGCAUCGUGCUCUUGUUAGGGUUUCUUUGUGUUGUCGUGCUUGUUUGGGUCGAAAGGUAUCAUCGUCGAUCAGGAUUACGAGGAAAUUUUAGCUUGCACUUGCGUUUGGAAUCAAAUCUGAGUAGGAUUCAACUAAUCUCGAUUUAGAAGAACAAUACGAUUCGGCUCGAUUCGAUUAAUUCCAAUUUGGAAUAAAUUGGAGGCGAAUUAGAUUCCAUUUUUGUUUUAUUGUUAGGAUAGAAAUGGAAAAUCGUUUCAAUAUGUUUUACUUUUUGGUUAAACAAUAGGAGAAGAGUACAUAUGAUUAUUUUUAAGUAGAGGUAUAUUGGGGCUACAAAUAUAUUUUAAACUAAUAUCAUGAAAAAUUCUAGUAAAAUCAUUUUGAAACCUAAUCAAAUAAUGGUUCCGGAAACAAUAAACUAAAGAAAAUUGCAGUUCCAAUUUGCUGGAAUUUUAGGUAAUAAUUUGGAAAUUACUAGGCCAUGUAGGUAUUUCUGUGGUAAUUUUCACCUCUAGAUUUUGUGUGCUCUGUUCAUAUACAAUGAAGAGAUUUUUAAUGAAUGUGGAACUAGCAAAAAAAAAAAAAAAAAAAACUGUUUUGAUAAGAAAUUCAAUUUCAUUACUAAUGUUUUCUUUUUUGUACAAGUGUUUGGUUAGGGAAUUAAGUGGGGAUGAUGGAGAUAUCCUGCGAGAUAUCAAUUAUCGUGGAAUUGUGUUAUUCUCUGGAAUAAGCCUUUAUCCCAACUAAUUUCAAUUUUUCCUAGUGAAACACGGGGUCGAUAACAUAAGAAGAGUUAAAAUCCUUCUUAGGGACCUUUUGCACCCCCCCAGGAUAAAAAUUCUCAAACAAAACAAUACCUUAUGUCUUUUCCUUUGCUAAUGUAACAACUGGGUGUGGUAAGUUUGUUAGACAUUGUCUUUCUUGGAUGUUCCAAGAUCAUGCCUUUUAUUUCACUUAGUUUUCUUCUAAACAGAAGUUGUUAUGGUGAAUAAAGAUCAUCCUGUUGUUGCCAGAAUCAAGAAUAUGACGAACAAUUGAUGCGUACGAUGACACUCCAUCUUAGCACUUAAUAAAGGAAUUGAUCAGAAUGUUUUUGAAGAAGCGAGAAUAGCUUUGCGAGUGAAGGACCAGAAUAAGGGAUCUCUACUUCUUUUUCGGAGAAGAGUACAACCAACUACUAGCCUAUCUUUUUUAUCUUGGUACAUAUAAUUCUUUCGAGUAACUCCAUUUAUUUGAUUCCGUUUUGCAAGUAAGUUCAGUGUUAUUUUCUUUGGCAUUUUUUAUUUUUAUGAAUAUUGAGACUGGAGCAAUAUUGUCUUCUAACUUGGAUGCUCUUUCCAUCAUUUGGAAUAGAAAUUUGUUGAUGCAAAUAGAAACCUAUUGAUACUGAAUAAAUCUCCUCUCCCUCGGUGCAAAAUUUCUAGCUUCGAUGAACAUCGCGUGCAAAAGCAAAAUUUAUCCAGUAUCAAACUGAAUUUUCCACCGCAAUCGAUUAAUAACUUCGGCUGAAGCAAUCUGUUCAAUUGGUUUCGUACUUCUGUAGAAAAUUGGAUUGGAAAGUUCAUAAAAAAUCAAAUGGUUUGCCUUAUUUUCACCAUCAGUUUUAGAUGUAGGGCUCUGUUCAAAUUACUGUUCUUGAGAAAGAAAGAUGUUAUAACAUGCUGCAGAUGAGCUAGCGAUAUCUUGGAGCUUAUGCACUUAAAUCAAUUAGCUUACCUUCGUCUUCUUAUCUAUCUUCAAUCUCCAUUGUUCACUUUUUAUUGUUUGAUUUAUCGUAGUUUCAUUUUUGAUCCAAACUCCAAUUCUCUAAAAUACAACAAUUAUCUUCGGUCCACUUCAGGUCAAAGUCAACUACGUCGUCCAUUCAUUUUUACGCAUUCACUUAUUGUCAAAAAAAUUAUAGAACCUAGAUGAAUAUCAAUUUUAUAACUAUAAAAGCAAGCAGCAAAAUCCCAGUUCGGUACUAUGCUAUCUUGUUCUUGAAAAAAAAAAAAAAAAAAAAAAAAAAAAAAAAAAAAAAACAAGCAGCAAAAAAAUUUAUUUAAGCACAAGUCAUCUAAAAAUCUAUCUUAAUCAGAACUUCAUUGCAAACUUGCAAUUGAUUAUUCACCAUGGUAUAGUUUGAAAAUAGCGCGGAAACAAAGAGAGCGCAUUAAAAAUGCGGUCUUAUGUCUGACGUGGCAAACAAUUUCCAGAGACUUUAAUUCGGAAAUCUUGGCUAGGUUCGUGAAGUCUAAAUGAGAAUUAUCCCUACACCCAGAUCAUCAUCCGAACAUCCAUGAACCGCUUGAUGUAUUAUCUCUCCAUUUCGUCAACUUCCGUACGGACGGCCAGGAGGACCGGAUCACAGAUGUAACCAUGCACCCGAUUCACGUGAUAGUUUCUCUGUCGCGUUACGGAGGAUUCGUUCGCAUUGUCGCAGAGCGAGCGACUACAGGAGAGAAACUUGGAUUCGAAGAAACCAAUGGAGUCGUUUCCAUCCUCCCCCUCGAUUUUAUUACUAAAACCCUAAUUAUAGUAAUGCUCUCGGAUUCGAUAGAGCGAGAGCGAGAUCGACGCGAUCGCGGAUGGAUCCCCUCGCGAUCCGCUUCCUCGUCUCCCUCCUCGCCUCCUCCGCGAUCGCCGCUCGAUCCUUCCGCCGCAGAUCCGUGGAUCUGUCGGGCGUUCUCGUCGGGAUCCCGGUCAUGGUGAUCCACAUGACCGCGGGCUAUAGGUUUCGCGAUCUCUUCUUCUUCGCCUUCUUCUUCUUCGUGUUCGUUCGAUUUAGAUCGGAUUUUGCUUACUCAGAGGUGUUGAACUGGGUUUUUGAAGGUUCGCGGCGCUUCUUCUGGUGUUCUUCUUCACGUCGUCGAAGCUCACGAGGGUCGGGGAGGAGCGGAAGCGCGCCAUUGAUGUGGAGUUCAAGGAAGGGGGGCAGAGAAAUUGGUGACAUUUUGUUGUAGCAUGUCAACUGUUUGUGAAAGAUUUGGUCUUUCUUAGGCUCGCUAAUUGUUGCCACUUCCAUUUUUUUUCCUAAACUUUUGCUCUUCUAAUUGUUUGAUCUUCUAAAAUUUUUGCUUCUCAUUAGUUGGUAGAUUUCAUUAAGGAUAUUUCGUCGUGUGCUGGCUCUACUGAGCUCUUUAUUUGAUUGCUAUACCCUAAAAAUAGGAUCUUUAUUAGUUGGUGUCUAUAUUUUAGGCCAUUUAAUGAGAUUUUACUUUCAUUUAGAUUUUUUCUUUUUUCCUGUUUACUUGAUGCUAAGUCUAUUUAGUGUUUGCUGUAAUGCUUAGCUUAUGUCGUCAUUUGAUGAGACGUCUCUAAAUCUGGCAAAUGAUAUGUUUGUCCAAAAAAGUGAACAAAAGCUAUCAAAUUUUGAGUUGUCUAGUUUAGUUUCUAGGAAAGAUGGUGGGAAACAUUCUCCUUCCAUAGCGAAAUAGUAUGAGAUGGUAUGGUUAGCUUAUUUGUCAUAUUCAAGAUCAUUAUAGCUUAAAGAGAAGUGCUUUAACGAAGCUAUUCCUUCUAAUAAUCAAGAAUGUUUUUUGCUUUUUACUUUGUAUCAGUAUAUCAUGGCAUUAUUGGAGUUCUGAAUGAUUAUUGUAGAUGUUUUUUUUGCGGGAAAUUCUUUUGCCAUGUCUUAUAACUUGCUGUCCACCAUCUAUCCUAAUUGGCAGGGUACAAGUUCUAGCAAAUAGUGGUAUCGCUACAGUUUUGGUAGUUAUAGUAGCAUUCUUAACUGGGGGACAAGAUAGGUGCUUGGAUACAAAAGAGUCAAAUUAUGUAACUGGACUAAUUGGUGGUAUUAUCGGACAUUAUGCUUGCUGCAAUGGAGAUACUUGGUCUUCGGAACUUGGAAUACUUAGCAGAGGUCAACCGCGGCUGAUCACAAACUUCAAGGUAUGAGUUUUUUAUAUUUCUGGGAAAUCUUCUAUAUGCAUGGUUCUUAGUUAAUCUGGCGUUUAUAUUCAAGAAAUUUCUUUUGUUUAAUUAAUUUUGCGGAGAAAGUAGAAGCGUUUUACUUUUACUUUGUUGUCCCAAUUAGUUCCGUCCAUUUAUCUUAUUUGUAACCCCCGUUUAUCUAAAUUUUGCUAUUCCUUUUUCAAAAUCUAUUCUUAUAGAUGUUCAAUUCAUACUUCAUACAUAAGUUUGGAUUCAAAAUAAGUGCUCUGGCUUACAUCAGUUAAAUUUGCAUAAUAUUGGUCACACUUUGGUUAAAAGCUUCUUUUUGAAUCUGGCUAGUAAAGCAGCUUGAAAUUAAGUAAUUCGACUGUUAACUCUAUCUUGCUUUAAGCAGAUUUUUACUAUAGUAAGAGUUCACUACCUCUCUAAAACCCUACGGAAACUGCUUUUCUGAUAAGCUAAAAAUCAUAACAGAAAGGUGAAGAAAUAUGCAAAUUUUCUGUUAUAUGCAUAUUUUCUAUUCACAUACUUUCUCACUGCUUUUUCAAUCAGAAGAUAUUAAUUUUUAUUACUACUGAUAUUAUUCUUCACCUCCAUUCAAUCAGAAAGUUAGAAAGGGCACAAACGGUGCAGUAACUGUUGAUGGGUUUCUAGCAGCAGCUGCAGCGGGCUUUGUCAUUGGGCUCACUUUCGUCCUAGUUGGAUUCCUCACCUCUGAAUGUGCUCCUAAGAUAGCUCGGAGGCAGUUGCUUGUUGUACCGAUUGCUGCAGCAGCUGGGCUGUGCGGAAGCUUGAUUGAUUCCUUGUUGGGUGCAACACUGCAAUUCAGUGGAUAUUGCACUUUGCGAAAAAAGGUAAAUAAUUCUUCACCAGUCAUUGUUGUUUUCUUUCUGAUGGUCAUUUGGGCGAAAUUGUUUUACGAGUUGUAUUAUGAGUUUGUUAUCCUACUUUCAUGUAAGUAUCAAUAUACUGCUUACCUUCAUUUGGUAUCGAGAGUGUCACCAAUUUUAUCGGUAUUGUCCCCUUUCAUCGAAUAGAUUCAACUCUGCCAUCAUCUUACAUUUUUACAUGGUCGGUUUUUCUGAUAUUCCAAUAAAAAGCUAAUAAGGAUUUUAAUAAGCAAAGCUUGAUAUACAUGCUGAUUUAUUAAGCUUAUGGACAACAAGUAUAGCAUAAAAAGACUUCAUUCGGUAGAUCUUUGGCUCUUUGAUGACUUGAUAAUUAAAGUUAAGAGGACAGUGGCUCCUCGAAUUAGAAGGCCUGACUAGCUAUCAAGCACUUUAUUGUGCUAUUCGUUAUCCUUCUAGUACGAUACUCCUAUUUGGUAUAUAUUUUUCCAAAAUUGUUCUAAUUGUUCAUAAAUCUGGUGUUGUUAUGCAGGUGGUUGCAAACCCAGGUCCAACUGUUAGCAAGAUCUCAGGAAGGAACAUUCUAGACAACCAUGGGGUCAAUGUCGUCUCCGUGCUAUUAACAACACUUCUUACAGCGAUCGCGUGCUUGUACAUCUUCUAAGCAUACCGAUCCAUCAUUCCUCUUCGUCUACAUUUGUACGGUAGUUAAUGCUAGCCGGGUUUUCCCACAUUAUUACCAGGAUUAGUGUUAACAGUUGUACCAUAAAGCACACUAGUUGUUAACAAGGCCACGGAUUUUAAUUUUAUUCUUAGUUUUGGAUAAUUUGAUACAUUUUAUUCUUCUAUUAGUUGGGGGGCAAGAUUCAAAGUGCGCGGUGACACGAUACCUGUUGUACUUUACAUUUGUAGAAGCAUUUCGUAAUUACGUGAGGUAGUUCCUUUUUUUUUCGAUUGUAUUGUUUCCUGUAUGAACUCUAGAUGACUUUGAUAUAUGUGCAUCUGUCUGAUCUGUUUCCUUUAAAAACAACUUCUCUACCUAAAGGUAGAAGCUAUGUGUUUAACAGUCAAGAUGUUUGCAGCUUCCGCCGACAGCGAGAAGCUGAAAUGAGCUUCUAGAAUCCGAAUGCAAAAGCUCUAAUUUCUGCCUUUAACUGUAGCAGUAAGCUGCUGGGGUCUUGUUAAUUCUACCAAAUUUUGCAAGCAAUAUAGCAUCAUGGGAACAAGGUUUUUCAACACUUUAUUAGCAACAAACAAAACAAUUUAUAAAUACAUAGUUUAUACUUGCACACGCAUGAAAACCAGGAACUCAAGCAGAGUUCACAAGCAUUCUCUCACGUCUUACACAAGGUGGACAGAGGAACAUGCGCUCGGUCACAACCACGCCAUUAUUUUCGCAUACAACACUUUUUGCGCUCACAUAAAUCCGAUAGAAUCAAGAUGCAUGAAAACCUCGACACUCCGCAAACUCACAAGAGAAUUUACUCUGAUUUGCAGCAACAGCAGAGGCAGUCGAGGCAACACUCGCAGGCCUCGUAGCAGCAGAAGCAGCAUUACAAGGUGAAAAAGCUGUUCAAGAAAGAGUUUAAACGACUCGGAUUAGUAAGUUGAAGUCACCGUGUAUUAUGAUACCUUAAAGGUUGACUUUAUAAGAAACGAUCCAGAAAUAGUCACCAAAUCUAAGAGGACAACAGCGAGCAGAAGAAUGAAGAAGAAGAAAAAGAGCAAUGCAGGUUCCAAACAAGUUACAAACCUUUACUGCUGCAAAACAGUUUGCCGAUUUUUGUUGGCAUGUUUGAUUUCCAUCUAACAGGUAAUAAGGCAAUGAAAUCUCUCUCUCUCACAAAAAGAUUGCUAAAGACUAACCCUUUAACCUGUUCACAAUUUUUUCUUUUUCUUCUGAGGGCUCAAACACCAUCAAUUUAGCAUAAGAGGAAAUAGGCAAACAACAACUGAUUCAACAAUAGCACAAUUUUCUUAUAUCAUAUAAAAUAUUUUUCUCAGUUACGUGGGAUAUAUUGCUUAUCAACAAAUAUGAUGCAUUGGCAAUGGGCCUUAUCCUUUUCUUUGCAUUAGGUGAUGGGCAACUAAAAUUAAUGAAAAGCGACCUCUUUUUUUAUGUGAUAAUGCUAGCUACUUGAUUUAUGAAAGAUCCAAUGGUGCGCAUAAAAUGCAUUCAAUGACUCCCAACUACUUGAUGCAUGUAUUUAUACAAUUAGCUCCUUGACUCUGCCUCAAAAUUUUUAAAAAAUUUUUUUUUCCUCCUAUUUUUGGUGUAAUAUAUAAGAAAUAUAUCCAGUUGUUGUAAAAUGUUCUUUCACCAAUUCAUCAACAAAAAAAAACGAAAAACAAAAAACAAAGAAAGAUAACUUCAUUUAGCAUAAGAUGUCAAUUUGAUGAAUCCAUUUGAUAUCAGGUGAAGUGUAUUUUAUAUUCAAAAUAAAAGUUCGUUACCAGCCGAGGAUCGUAGGGACAUAUAUUUUUGUAAUGGAUUACUCAUAAUUCGUCACGUAACAGCGGGAAGAUGCUAGGGACUUAAAAUAUUUUUGUUCUGGAUUAUUUAUGAUUCCUAUAACUUUCCAACUUGAGUCAUAUAGUGAUGAUUUGGAUAUCUUAAAUACAAAAUAUGAAGAUUUUUUGCAAUAUUACAAACCACAAAAUGAACAGCCCGUAAAAGCAUUCUCAGUUAGUUCUCAACUUUUAAUUUGUUAUAAUUUUAUUCCGGACUAUUAUGUAUAGUUUUAAUUUAUCUAUUAGAACUGACAUAACAAUACUGUGACAAAAAUGCCAAAAAUCGCGAGCAAAUCAUAACCAUUUUGAACUUGAAGAUCAAAGCUAAGCAGUUCAUAAAGUGAGGAAUUCUCUUUUCGACUCCUCCGACUCGCAUAAGAGUUAUGAAUUAUGAUAUAUUUGUGUAUUUUCAAGAAAAAAACGAAGUAGAAAAAUCAAAACAGAAAUGAAGAGGAAGAUAAUCAACUAAUGCAUAUAAUAUUUGAGAGAGAGAGAGAGAGAGAGAGAGAGAGAGAGAUGGACCAAGCAUAGAGCCAGCCCUUCUCAUGGUGGCGCUUCUUGAUGUGUUCUGCGUAGGACAGGUUCUCUGGAUCCGCCAUUUUUAUAUGUCUUUAGAUAUAUAUUAUACUAUAUACAGAGAGCGAGAGCGCGAGAGAGAGAGAGAGAGAGAGAGANAAGUGCUUAUUACAAAGCAUAGAGUGUUUGUGUGUGUGUGCGCGCGCGCGUGUGUCAAGGGUGGUGCCUUCUAGUGUCGGCAACCACGUGCGUGGCACGUGCUUGUGUAUAUUAUUGCAUUGCACGUUAUAAUUUCAUAUAUAGUUUCUAUCUCAUAUAUGUAAGUCUUUUUAUAAUUUUUCUAAAAUUUUAAUUUUAAUAAUUUUUUUAUUUAAUUUUAUAUAAGUGGAUUUAUCAUAUGCGGGUCCAUUAAUUAAAGUUGCUUUGGUGAUAGGCCCCUCCCUCGUAGGAGGAAUUCUACACUGUCAUACUUGCACCACGUCAUCAAUAAUAAGUCAAUUACAUUCCUUCAUUUUAAACAAAAGUAUAAUAAAAAUACUUUUUUACAAUCAUGAUGGAACAUAUAUUCUUAAAAUGAUUAAUUUGAUUGAUUUGUUACGCCACGUCACUAAUAUAUCCGUUGCAUUCUAGAAUUUUUCCUCUCAUAGA